rnacentral:lncRNA from 1 species
AUAUCAAUGGGGUCACCAACCCUCAAUACAGUUGUUCCUUCACUUGUUUUGUUGAUCCUAUUUUUUGUGUUAAGUUUCUUAAUAACUGUUUCUUCAGAAUCUAAUGAAGAAGCCGAUGCUCUUCUCAAAUGGAAAGCCAGCCUUCAAAUCCACAACCGAUCUCUCCUUUCUUCUUGGAUUAAGGACACCACCAAUGUUUCAUCCAAAACAAGCCCGUGUGCUUGGUAUGGAAUCAGUUGCAAUGACGUCGGAAGAGUCGUCAACAUCAGCCUUCCAGCUAAAGGAUUAAAAGGUAAGCUUCAUGAUUUCUCAUUCUCAUCUUUUCCUCAUCUUGCUUAUCUUGAUCUCAGCCAUAAUGAACUCUUCGGUACUAUCCCGCCUCAAAUUAGUAACCUUACGAAUCUCAGCGACCUUUAUUUAGAAGGUGAUCAAUUUUCAGGAAAUAUUCCACCAGAAGUUGGUCUUAUGAGUCAUUUGAAGUUCCUUUACAUUUAUACGAACCAAUUAGAUGGCUCAAUUCCACCAGAAGUAGGUCAGUUAAGUUCUCUGGUGGAGCUUUUCUUGUUCUUUAACCACUUGAGCGGUUCAGUCCCUCCUUCUUUAGGUAAUUUGACCAACCUACAAGAACUAAUCCUCUUUUGUAACAACCUAUCCGGUUCCAUUCCUCCCUCCCUCGACAAUCCCAUGUUAACCAGGCUAGAUUUGGAUUUCAAUCAUUUUACAAGUUAUUUACCGCACAAUGUUUGUCGAGGUGGAGCAUUACAGAAUUUUACUGUUGGUGAAAACCAUUUUCAAGGAACAAUCCCUAAAAGCUUGAGAAAUUGCACAAGCUUAAUCCGAGUACGUGUUAAUGGAAACAACCUUACUGGAAAUAUAUCAGAAGCUUUGGGCAUUUAUCCUAACCUGAAUUACAUAGAUCUCAGCCGCAAUAAUUUUUACGGUGAAAUCUCGUCUAACUUGGGGGAAUACCCAAAAUUAGGCACUCUCAACGUUUCGAUGAAUAACAUUACCGGAGGUAUACCGCGUGAGAUUGGAAACUCGUCUCAACUACAAGCACUCGAUCUUUCAUUGAAUCGUAUAGUUGGGGAGAUUCCAAAGGAACUUGGGAAGCUAAAUUCUCUAACCAAGCUCAUUUUGAAAGGGAAUCAACUUACAGGACGCUUGCCUACAGAAAUCGGCGCAUUCAAUGAACUUGAAUACCUCGACUUAUCUGCAAAUAGAUUCAACAAUUCAGUCCCAAAAAGUCUCGGCAACUUGCUGAAAUUGCACUACCUGGGCUUAAGCAACAACCAGUUUGACCAAGAAUUGCCAAAGGAAUUGGAGAAGCUAGUUCAACUUUCAGAAUUAGAUGCAAGUCAUAACCUCUUUGGAGGAGAGAUACCAUUUCAAAUAUGCAGUUUGAAAAGCUUGGAAAAGUUGAAUCUCUCCCACAACAAUCUCUCUGGUUCGAUUCCAAAUUGCUUUGAGGGAAUGCACGGUCUAUCAGUCAUUGACAUUUCUGAUAAUCAAUUGCAAGGCCCAGUUCCAAAUAGCACAGCAUUUCGGAAUGCCUCAGUGGAAGCGUUAGAGGGGAAUAAGGGAUUGUGUGGAGGUGUGAAAGGAAUGCAACCAUGCAAAGGUUUCUUCUCACACAAGCAAAAUUCUGGAGCCAAGAGGUUUGCAAUAGUGUUCCCUGUUUUAGGAGCACUACUUGUUUCCAUGACGUUGGUAGCAAUUUUCAUUCUUCGAAAGCGGAACUCAGACUCAGGAGAUCGACAGAGGAGCAACCAGAACCCUCAUGGAUUGUUUUCUAUAUUGAAUUUUGAAGGGAAACUUGUGUACGAUGAAAUUGUUAGAGCAACAAAUGACUUUGAUGCACAGUAUUGCAUUGGAAACGGUGGACAUGGAAGUGUUUAUAGAGCUGAACUACCAUCUGGGCAAGUCGUAGCUAUUAAGAAAUUUCACUCGCCACUCCCAAGUGACCAGAUUGUAGAUAAAAAAGAAUUCUUGACUGAAGUUGAGGCCUUGACAGAGAUACGACAUCGAAACAUUGUGAAGUUGUACGGAUUUUGCUCGCAUGCCCGACACUCUUUUUUGGUCUAUGAAUUUCUUAAAAGGGGCAGCUUGGCUACGAUCUUGAACAGUGAUGCAGCAGCACAAGAACUGGGUUGGAGUCAGAGAAUGAAUGUGAUCAAAGGCGUAGCUGAUGCCUUGUCUUACUUGCACCAUGACUGCUUUCCUCCGAUUGUCCAUCGAGACAUAUCAAGUAAGAACUUGUUGCUGGAUUUGGAAUAUGAAGCUCAUGUUGCAGACUUUGGAAUCGCUAAGUUUCUGAAGCCAGACUCCUCCAACUGGACUGAAUUUGUAGGCACAUACGGAUACGUUGCACCAGGUAUUUAGUAUUCGUUUGUUACCAUUUUGAGUAAUAUUUUUAUGUUAUGUGUUUCGUAACAUAACAAUGUACCUAGAUAUUGUUGAAAAAUUUAUGUAGUUCAUUCAGCAGACUUGUAAAAGCUUACUUGUUUAUGCACAUUUAUCUCAUAAACAGAGUAAACAAUUUUUCUUUUUUUUGGGUCCUUGACCUUGCAGAGCUUGCUUACACAAUGAAGAUCACAGAGAAAUGCGAUGUGUACAGUUUUGGAGUGUUAGUGUUGGAAGUGAUCAAAGGGAAGCAUCCAAGAGAUUUUCUUUCUUCGAUUUCAUCUUCAUCCCUCAACACGGAUAUAGAACUUGAUGAAAUGUUGGACCCGCGUCUUCCAGCUCCAUCACGCAGUGUUCAAGAAAAACUUAUAUCAAUCAUGGAGGUUGCGUUUUCAUGCUUAAAUGAGAGUCCGGAGUCUAGACCAACUAUGAAGAUAGUCAGUCAACAAUUACGGACUUAACCUCAGCUGCAUGCCUUGGCUUGGUCUUAAUUUUCUAAGUAUACUUGUAAUUUGCUUGGUUUAUUUUUCUAAGUAUCCAUAUAUACUUGGUAGAUGGUGUACUCAACUCUUUCAUUUAUAAAUAAAAUAAAGUUUGCUCAUUCCUUAGAGGUUUAGUUAAAAGAAUGCAUGGGGCAGUGGUGAGCACAUUUGAGGACAUGUGGAGUCUAUACAAUGAAGACCAAGAUUAGUAAGACAGUUUGUAAUAAUUAACAAAAUAAUUUCUUGCGACAUGUACAAAGAGGUAAACCCCUCAAAUGUAAACUUAAAAGUAUGUAGCAUUGUAUUUUUUUUGGGGGGAGGGGGGGGGGUGGUGGGAAUGAUUUGUCUUACCUUUGAGUAAACGAUUUGAAGGAACUUAUGGCUCUCACCAAUUGUCUUGAAUGCUCUAAUGGCUUAUACUUUGUAGAAUCUGUUGAAAAGUUAUGCAUGUGUCAUCCAAAUUCAAGAAGACAUGCAAAAUUUCAAAGGACUACCAAACAAUUAAAGAAAAAAAAUAAAAAGUUGGCAAAUUUGUCAAAUUUGCCAAAUGGACACCAUUGACAUUUUUGCAUGGGUUAGGUGGAAUAGUGUUUGGGUUAGGUGGAAUAGUACUUGGGUUAGGUGGAAUAGUACUAGCUUCAAGCCUAUAAAGAGAGAGCAUUUCUUCAUUUCAUUUCAUUUCAUCCCAAAAUUGUUAAGCUUAUAAGUUUAUAAGAUUUUGAGAGAAGUGAGAGAAGUGUUUCUGGAAAAUUUAUCUUUCCUCCAGAGUGUGAGAGUACUGAGUAUAUUUGGGUUUCUGGAAAGUGAGAUUCGUUAUUCAAAUAUUUGUACUCUAUUAAUUGUUAAAUAAAUAAUUAUUCUUUCUUGCCUCCGUGGAUGUAGGUUUAAUUACCGAACCACGUAAUUCUUGUGUCAUUUAUUUUUCUAUAAUUAUUUGGUGCACUUGAUUCCGCAUUCCACGCACAAUAAGUGGUGUCAGAGCCGACGGUUCGUACUUGGAAGGAUAUGGUACUGUUCACGUAUACGGUACUGUUCAUAUACAGUACUGUUCACGAAUACGGUAGAGACGGCCAUUUGUACUUGGGAGACAGUCUAUUGUAAGUAGUGUGUAUUUUUGCAUGUCUAGGAAAGUCCUGUCAACAAAGGCAAUAAGAGUCCAAGGAUUAUGGUUUUUAAUUGGGACCGAGCUCCCGUCCAGUCUCCUGGGAACUUUCCUGGUGCAUUUAUUCACGCGAAAUUAACAUCAUAGAGAUUGUUUUUCAAGUGGAAAUAGUUCAUUGAGAAAAUGAUAGAAGGUGAAACUUCCAGAAUUGGGGAGAGAUCUACCGAGACUAUUUCAGGAGACACUUCAGGUGGGAGGCGAGAUUUGUCAAAUCGCUAUUCAGCACCUGUUAUAGGAGGCCAGAAGAUCGAUGUUGAAAAGUUUGAUGGGAAAAUCAACUUCGACAUGUGGAGGCGCGAAGUUGUGGAUGCCCUUAUUCAAAUCGAUCUCGAUGUUGUUUUGAAAAAUAAAAGACACUUGUAUAAUGAAGAAAUUUGGUAUAAUGAAGAAAUUUGGGAUCGUAUGAAUGAGAAAGCCUGUGGUCAGAUCAGAUCUUGUUUGACCAAGGAGGUAAAAUACUUGGUGAAAGAUGAGGAGUGUGCGAUGACUUUGUGGCGUACAUUGGAGGAGAUGUACUUGCUGAAAAGUCCUGAAAAUCGCCUUCAUGCAAUGAGCCAAGUAUAUGGCUUUCGAAUGAAGCAUGGGAUGUCAAUGCACGAUCAUGUCUCAAGAUUUGAAAAGUUACUUGCUGAUUUGAAGAAUCUUGAUGAAGAUAUUAAGGAUGAAGUAAAGGCUAUGAUUCUGUUACACUCACUAUUAGAGGAAUAUAGUUAUUUUGUGACUACCUUGAUAUAUGGGAAAAGCGUGAUCAUAUUCAAAGAUGUUUGCACAGCAUUGACUAACUUAGAGAUUCAGAAUAAUAAUAAAAAUUCUGAACGAGCAUCGUCUGAAGCUUUGGUGAGCAGAGAUUGGGCAAUGGAGAAAAAGAAAAAGCGUGGUGGAAAGAAUUCUCGAUCCAAAACGAGAAGCAGAAAUAUAGCUCGAGACAAGUGUGCAUUUUGUCAUGAAAAGGGUCAUUGGAGGAAAGAUUGUCCAAAGGCUUAAAAGAGAGAUGGGAAAAAACCAACAGCAGUAAAUAUGGCACGAAAAGAUGAAGACUAUGAUUAUUCACUAAGUGUUACUCCUGCAGCAUACGUGGCUAGUUCGAGGGAGUGGAUACUUGAUACUGGAGCAACCUAUCAUUUGUAUCAUAUUAAGGAAUGGUUUAUGGAUUUUCGUAAUCUGGAAUCCGGUGCAGUUGUGAUGGGGAAUGAUCAACGUUGUCGCACAAUGGGGAUAGGAACAAUUCGGCUCAAAAUGUUUGAUAAAAUGAUUAGAGAACUCAAAGAGGUUAGAUUUCGUCCAGCUUUAAAGAAAAAUCUAAUUUCUGUGGGUGCUUUGGAAGCUAAAGGCUACAAGGUUACCAUUGAAGAUGGUAUAAUGACGUUUACACAUGAGGCUAUGGUGAUUCUGCAAGGGGUUCGGCGUCACAAUCUGUACUAUUUGAAGGGAGGUACAACUAAUGAAGUAAAUGUUGUUGAGGUGCACAGUGACACCACCAAGCUAUGGCAUGUACGACUAGGACAUGCUAGAGAGAAGUUUUUACAAACUCUGAUGAGGCACAGACUCUUAAAAGGUACCAAAACUUGUAAAUUAAAUUUCUGUGAGCAUUGUGUAGUAGGCAAGAAAACAAGGGUCAAGUUUGGUACAACUAAUCACGAUACUCGUGAGAUCCUUGAAUAUGUUCAUAGUGAUGUAUGGGGACCAACCAAGACGACAUCAAUUAGUGGAAGCUAUUAUUUUGUUACAUUUGUUGAUGAUUUCUCUAAAUGUGUGUGGGUAUACACCAUGCGAGCAAAGGAUGAGGUUCUAGAGAUUUUUGUGAAAUGGAAGAAAUUGGUGGAGACUCAAACUGGCAAAAAGAUCAAAGUAUUAUGAUCUGAUAAUGGGGGUGAAUAUACUUCUGAUCCAUUCUUGCAAGUAUGCCAGAACGAGAGUAUUAAAAGACAUUUCACGAUGAGACAUACUCCGCAACAGAACGGUGUGGCUGAGCGUAUGAAUCGUACUUUACUGGAGAAUGUACGAUGUAUGUUAUCUAAUGUUGGUUUAGAUAAAAAGUUUUGGACUGAAGUUGUGAGCUACGCAAGUCACUUGGUAAACCAGUUGCCUUCUACUGCAAUUGGAGGUAAAACUCCUAUAGAAAUGUGGUUUGGAAAACAUGCACAAGACUAUGAUUCCCUUCGUAUAUUUGGGUGUCCAGCUUAUUAUCAUGUCAAAGAUGAUAAACUGGAUCCUCGUGCUAGAAAAGCUAUCUUUGUGGGAUUCAAAUGUGGAGUAAAGGGCUUCAAGCUUUGGGAUCUCGAAGACAAAAAGUUUGUGUGUAGCAGAGAUGUCACAUUUGAUGAAGCUUCAAUGAUGAAAGCUUCAAGUUCUCAGCAAGUGGAGAACAAGACCAAAGUGAUAUUGCAGCGGGUGGAGUUUGAUGCAACUCCAUAUGUACCAGUUAGUUCUACAUCAAAGAAGGGUUCAACUAUGAAGGUGACACCUAGAGUUGAAGAAGAUGUUGUUUCUUCUAAUGGCCCACAAAAUGAAGAAAUAAUUGAUGAUGUAGAUAAUGAUGAUUUUAUAGCAACAAGGAGGCCAAGAAGAGAGAUAAAGAAACCCGGAUGGCUUACUAAAGAUAUGGUGGUAGCCUAUGCACUUCCAGUUAUUGAUGAUGACAUCCCCAAUACUUUCGGUGAAGCAUUACGCAGCAGUAAAAGUGAUUAGUGGAAGUUAGUCAUGGAGGAAGAGAUGAAAUCUCUCCAUCAAAACCAGACUUGGGAACUUGUAAAGUUACCAAAGGGGAAAAGGGCUAUUGGCAAUAAAUGGGUCUACACCAAAAAGCAAGGAUCUUCGAAUCAAACAACUCCUCAAUACAAGGCAAGGUUCGUGGCAAAAGGUUUUGCUCAAAAGGAAGGUAUUGACUAUAAUGAAGUUUUCUCUCCAGUUGUAAAACGUACUUCCAUUUGUAUCCUACUUGCCUUAGUUGCAGAAUAUAAGUUAGAGUUGGCUCAAUUGGAUGUUAAGAUGGCAUUCUUACAUGGAGAUUUGGAGGAGGAAAUCUAUAUGAUUCAGCCUUGUGGUUUCAGAGUUGCUGGAAAGGAGAAUCAUGUGUGUAGGUUGUACGGACUGAAGCAAUCGCCAACGCAGUGGUACAAAAGAUUUGAUCAAUUUAUACAAGGGCAGAAAUUCACCAGAAGUGAACACGAUCAUUGUGUUUACUUUAGAAGACUACUAGAUAGAGCUUUCAUCUAUUUGUUACUCUAUGUCGACGAUAUGCUUAUAGUUUCGAAGAAUAGAGAUGAGAUUGAAAGAUUAAAGAAGUAGCUGGCUUCUGAGUUCGAGAUGAAGGACUUGGGUGAUGCACAGAGAAUACUUGGGAUGGAGAUUCGUAGAGACAAGAAGAAUGGGAGCGUAUGGUUGACUCAAGAGUCUUAUUUGAAGAAAGUGCUAGAAAGAUUCGGCAUGGAUGACAAAACUAAACCGGUAUGUACACCUUUAGCUUCUCAUUUCAAAUUAAGCUCUUCGUCAUGUCCUAGAUCUCAAGAGGAGCGCUAUUACAUGGCUCGUGUUCCAUAUGAUAGUGUUGUGGGUAGUCUUAUGUAUGCUAUGGUAUGCACAAGGCCCGAUAUAUCUCAAGUAGUGAGCAUGGUUAUAGAGCUGGCAAAAUUUGACAUGACCCGAUUACCCGACACGAACACGACAUAAAUAAAUGGGUAUGGGUCGUUAAAUUUAACACGAUUAUUAAAUGGGUCGGGUCCGGGUCAAUACGAUUUUUUUCCAUGUCGGGUUAGGGUUAAAAUUCUUGACCCAUUUACCCGAUCAAUGACCCGAUUAUAUUUUCUAUUUUAAGAUAAUUUACAUAUUCUUAUUAUUAAAACUCAAAUAUUAGAGAUGAUUUUCUUUUUUUUAUUCUUUAAAAGGGUGAAUAUAAACACAGUGUUGUAUUUAUAAAAUUUUAAAUACAUUUAGAGUUUCAAUAGUGUAAAUGUGUAAAAAUUGAUAGACAUGUAUAUUUUAUAAUAUUGAUAUAUAAUAUUUUAUAUAUAUAUAUAUAUAUAUAUAUAUAUAUAUAAUUAAAACCUCAAUAGUAUAAAUGUGUAAUAUAUUGGUAGAUAUGUAUAUUUUAUAAUAUCGAUAAAUUAUGUAUGUAUGUAUGUACAUACAUAUGUAUGAUAGUGUGUAAAUAUUUGAUGUAACUUUUGUUCAAUAUAUAGAUAUUAAACGAGUUAUUGGGUAACCCGAUUAUUUUUCCGUGUCGGGUUUGGGUCUCAAUAUUUUGACAUAAUUAUUAAAUGGGUCGGGUUUGGGUCGACUUAAAUUUGACACGACAUGAAGCUGACACGACAUGAACACGACUCGAUGACCCGUUUUGCCAGCUCUACAUGGUAGAUACAUGCACAAUCCGGGUAAAAAUCAAUGGCUUGCGGUAAAGUGGAUUCUCCGAUAUCUGUAUGGGACAAUUGAUGUUGGGUUAUUGUUAAAAAAGGAUUGUGGUCAACAAUGUGUUGGGUAUUGUGAUUCUGAUUUCGCUGGAGACCUUAACAAGCGAAGAUCAACAACGGGCUACGUAUUCACAUUGGGUGGAGGUCUGGUUAGCUGGAGGUCGAUUCUACAAUCGACAAUUGCUUUGUCCACUACGAAGCAGAGUAUAUGGCAGCAACUGAAGCUGUAAAAGAAGCUAUCUGGUUGAAAGGCUUGUUAGGUGAUUUAGGAGUAAUCCAGGAGAACAUUGUGGUCUUUUGUGAUAAUCAAAGUACGAUAUUCCUUGCGAAGAAUCAAACAUAUCACGCUCAGACGAAGCACAUAGAUGUGAAAUAUCAUUAUGUGAGAGAGAUUAUCGAGAGCGGUGUUGUGUUGUUGAGAAAGAUCGAUACCAAAGAUAAUCCAUUAGAUAUGUUGACGAAGGUAGUUUCUGGAGUUAGGUUUCAACAUUGCUUGAAACUAAUUCAAAUCCUUUGAUUGUAUUAAGUUAUGUCCUUCGGGAAUUUUAAACUACGGUUGGCUUGAUCCCAAAUUUGUGGGUACGUAGGCAGUCACAGAGAUGCAGCCACUUUGGGGAUGAUGGUUCAUUGGUAGUCGGCUCAGAUUUGGACAAAUUUUCGCCGAGGUAGAGAAUUGUUGAAAAGUUAUGCAUGUGGCAUCCAAAUUCAAGAAGACAUGCAAAAUUUCAAAGAACUACCAAACAAUUAAAGAAAAAAAAUGAAAAGUUGGCAAAUUUGUCAAAUUUGCCAAAUGAACACCAUUGACAUUUUUGCAUGGGUUAGGUGGAAUAGUGCUUGGGUUAGGUGGAAUAGUGUUUGGCUUCAAGCCUAUAAAUAUAGAGCAUUUCUUCAUUUCAUUUCAUCUUAAAAUUGUUAAGCUUAUAAGUUUCUAAGCUUUUGAGAGAAGUGAGAGAAGUGAGAGAAGUGAGAGAAGUGUGUCUGGGGAAUUUAUCUUUCCUCCAGAGUGUGAGAGUACUGAGUAUAUUUGGGUUUCUGGGAAGUGAGAUUCGUUACUCAAAUAUUUGUACUCUAUUAAUUGUUAAAUAAACAAUUAUUCUUUCUUGUCUCCGUGGAUGUAGGUUUAAUUACCAAACCACGUAAUUCUUGUGUCAUUUAUUUUUUUAUAAUUAUUUGGUGCGCUUGAUUCCGCAUUUUGCGCACAACAGAAUCGCCAAUGUUGUGAUAACAACUUUGGUGGUUAAAAUUUGAUUGUGAAUUUCGGUUGAAUGAUUUAAUUUUCAUUUGAUUCUUAUAAAGACCUCUACCAAGUUAAUCUUUUUUUCCGGAUGUUUAAUUUUGUCAUGUCAGAGUUAGUUGAUGUCCUAUAUUUGACUGACAUUCAAUUUUAGUUUAUGAAUUUCUUGAAAGGGGUCGCUUGGCCAUAAUCUUGAGCAACAAUGCAGCCACAUAAGAGUAGUUAAGUGGGCCGGAGUCAGAGAAUGAAUGGGAUAAAAGGCGUUGCCCAUGCCUUGUAAUAUUCAUUUGUUGCCAUUUGGAGGAAUAUUAUCAUGCAACACAUUCUAUAGAGAUAUAAAAGCUUACUAAUUUAUACGCGUUGAUCUUUAAAAAGAGAGUAAACUUUUUUUCUUUUCUCUUUUUUAUUUGUCCUUGACCUUGCACAGCUUGCUUAUACAAUCAAGAUCACAGGAAACUACGAUGGUACGGUUUCGGAGUGUUAGUAUUAGAAGUGAUCAAGGGAAAGCAUCCAAGAGAUCAAAUGCUCUUUCCGCAGUUUCAGCUUUAUCUUCCAAUGCCACUUGAUGAAAUGUUCGAUCCUUGGCUUCCACCUGAUCCAUUGUUCGAUGUUCAGAGCAAGUUAGUAUCAAUCACGAAGGUUGCCUUUUCUUGCUUAAAUGGGAAUUCAGAAUCCAGACUGAUCAUUACUGUUUGAGCUUUAAAUAUCUGCCUUCAUUGUUGCACAAGUUAUUUAUACGUAUCAUGCUUAUGCAGGCCUUAAUUCGGAACAAAAGAAUGUUAGUUGACAGAAUUUUGCAACUAGAGGAUGAUGUACUUCAUAAUUAGUCAGCCUUCAACACAAAAUAGAAAAUUUAGUUGACAGAUAGCCACAAAAGACUAGCUUCGUUUUUGCUAAAAAAUAAAUAAAAUCUGCUUCUAUGGCCUCUGUAAACCAACUGCUUCCUCUUUAAAAAAAAAAAAAAAACCCAACUGCCUCAAUGCCCCCAAUUUCAAAACUAUCAUUGAUAUAGAGCCAUUAAACCUGGGCUCCAUAUUCAACUUUUCAGAGUUCCAUUUCUAUCAUGAAGCUUUUGAGAGCAUGGACACACUUGACACUAGAUAACCCUCACGAGAUAUGUCCCAAAAUCUCCUCAGCCAUAAUUUUGCUACAAAAGCCGAUAGAAUUAAUGAUCCUUAUUAAUUAUGAAUUACAUCGUUCUUUGGUUGCACAAUUUUGGAUAAAAAAUUUGGACCAGAUUCAGUGUUCGGUUGAGCUUGUGUUGACUGUUAAGCAUUAAAUCGAUAGUCAAGAUUUAUCCAACACGAGUUUCACAAGGAUCCCAAUGAACUCUUGAUCUUGAUCAUAGAUUCUGUACCCAACACAAUAUGCUUAUCAAAAAAAAAAAAAACACAAUAUGCUUAUGGUUUAAAAAUAAAAUAAAUCAUGUUAACACUUUGUAUCAAUACUUAAUGCAUCGACAAUCGUUUUCUUUGCGCACGGACUUGUCGAUAAAAAGAGUUUAAUAGUCCAUCUAUUAGUUUACAUCUGCUUAAUCUGAUUGGAAUGAAACGAAAUUAAUUGUUUCUUUGUUUUAAAAAGUAAAUAACUAUAAUUUCUUGAAUAUUCGAUGAAUUAACAAAAGAAUUGUGAAUGAAGUUUUGUUUGGUAUUAAAGUAUUAUUAUCUUUAAAUCACAAUUAUACUAUAAAAUAAAAGUAAAAGUUGACAACAAAUAAUAAAUAUAACUUUUAAAUAGUAUUUUUGACAAAAAUAAUAAAGAUAUUACAAAUUUUCUAUCAUUAAAAUCAAAUCAUUUUAGCUUGUAAGUCACAAUGAUGAUAGUUACAAAUUCUUGUAUAAAUUUAUUUUAUAUAAAUUAAUGUGGUAUAAAUUUAUUGGUUAGGUAAAGAUAUAAAAUAAUAAAAAUAAAUUAUGUGAAAUAAAAAAUAUUUAAUUUAAUUAGUUUGUAUAAAAUAAAUUUAUAUAAAAGAUUUGUAAUUAGUUUGCAAGUGACAAUGAUGAUAGCUACAAAAUCUUGCAUAAAUUUAUUUUGUAUAAAGUGAUGUGGUAUAAAUUUAUUAGUUAAGUAAAAAUAUAAAAUAAUAAAAAUAAAUUAUGUGAGAUAAAAAAUAUUUAAUUUAAUUAAUUUAAUCGUUUGUAUAAAAUAAGUUUAUAUAAAACAUUUGUAAUUAGAUUAUUACUCUUGUAAACCAGUGCCGAUAUGUACAGUAUGCUAUUUGUGUGAGUUUUCUAUCCAAUUUUUCCGUCCAAUAUGAUUACAAAUAAAAAAAAGAAAAACGUGGACUCCAUCGACGAGACCUCACGUGGGCCCACUAAUCUUGAUGAUCUCAUCUUUUUCGUGUGAAAAAAAAACACCCCCCUUACAACGACACCGUCUUUUCUUUGUCUUUCCAUUCGUUUUCGUCAGCCAACACAAACACUCACUUAAUAGCCCCCCCAUUUUCGUUCACUCCUAUCCAUUGUCCACGCGUCCAACGACGAUUGCUUCUCCGGCUCUAAUCACAGGAUUUUCGUUAAAUGGACGUACGACAUGGGCCCCAUCUCUGCGCAUACCAGACCGUCCAUGCACUUUGUGAAAAGAGAAUAAAACUAUUUAAGAGUUGUACUAUUGGCACCGUUCAUUAAUUUUAUAAAAUUUUAUUAUCUCACAAUUAUAUUUAAAAAUAAAUAUAAAUAAAAUAAAAUUAUUUAUAUUUUUUUUAAUUUUAUUUUUCUUGAGCAAUAUAAAUAUUUUUUAUUAUCAUUAAAAUAAUGUGAAUUUAAAAAAUAAUCCUUUAAGUUAAAACAAAAUUUUUGUAAUAAACAUAACAAUUUAAUUAAGAUACAAUACAAUAGAAAAAUAAGUCAAAUAAAAUUUUAUCCCACUGUAAAUAAUUUUUUAAGAAUUCUCAAACUAAUUACUAAAUGAAAAAUUUAUAGGUGAGAUAAAAUUGUAUUAGACUCAUAAAAAUAUUAAUUAUUUUCUAACUAUAAUAUUUUUCUUUUUUUAGAUUUUUUCUUUAAAAAUUAAUUAAUAAAAAAGUUUGAAGAGAGGAAUACCAAUAUUAAGACUGAAAAAGUGAAAAAUAUUAGAAACUAAAAAAUUCAUAAAUAAAAAAAAGUAUUCAUUUAGAAAAAAAUAGUAUUUUUGACAUUAAAUGAAAUAUAAUUAAAAAAAGAGUUUCAAUAAGAUUUUAGAGGGUGUUAAUGUUGGGGAAAAAUUAGGUUUUUAAAUUUUUUUAAAACCUUUUGAAGAUCGCUCUCAUAUAAUAUAUAAGAAUUUAUAUUCUAGAAAUCGUACCUUGAAAAUUUGAGUUGGCUUUUUCCGCUGAAGUGAUUUAGGCUCCUAGAUCACGAUCCGCCACCACCACUCCUGUUAGAUCACGAUCUGUCACCACCACGCUUGUUAGAUCACGAACUGUCACCAAUGAUCUUCCAAGUUAUGACUCAGGUUCGAUCUACACUUGACGUGUGGGCGCCUUUAUCACUACCAAAGCAACUAGCACGAGAAAAUUUUUCUCUCAACAAUAGAGAGAAAAAUCUUUUUCUCUGAUUUGUAUAAAGUGGUUUCCCUCUUUUCUUUUAAGAAAAAUAAGCCUUUUAUAUCACCCUUUAGUGAAAACCCUAGGCUCCAAAUAAUCCAAAAACAAAACCCACGUUAUUUGCUUUUUCAAUAGGGGACCUACCUUGUAAAAUAACAUAAGGCCCCUUACACAAAAGCUAAUUAAAUGGAGCCUCCCACUAAAUGAUAUAUUUAGGCUUUUGACCCAAAUAGCUAGUUAUCUUGCUUAUUAGUCCAGUAGUGGUGCAGUCAAUUAAAUGAGCUAACCCGGGGAUCAUUUGGGAACAUACAAUAGUAGCUAUAACAAUUAGGCCUGUAAUUAAACUAGCCUAAUUAUUUAAUUCCAAAUCUACUCCACUAAAAGAUUGGAACUGACUUCCAUAAUUGUAUGCUCGAAUAAUAAUUCGUCCCAAGCCACAUUGAUUUCUUUACUGCACAAUCCUUUGUACCACAUCGUUAAUUAAAUUGAUAUCUCAACUGUCCAAUCAAUUUAAUAACAUCUUUUUCCUUGAUCCUUACUGGUUUUCUCUAAUGAUCAUUUUCAACAUACUAAAUAUGUUGACACACUCUAGCCAGAGAAUUUCUAUGAUCAAGUGCCGAAAACCCAUCAAGAGAUGUGUUGUACAAAUUCUAUAUUGUUAAUCCAUAACUCCAAUACUCAUAAAUGCUCCCACCAAGAUACCGGGUAAUCUUGACCACAAGUAUGUGUCGUGCCCAUUGGUAACUCAAAUGGAAUAACAAUUACAAUCAUGGAAUCAUAAUUAACUCAAGAUUAAGAUUACAGUAAAAUCAAUGCCUAUGAGAUUUAAUAAGUCUGACAGUUAUUACAAAGUUAAUUAAAUCUCAUAUUUGAUCUUGUUCAAUGUAGUCGUACUACAUCAAUAAAUUCAUACAUGAUUAAGACAAAUCAUUCAAUGAAUUUAUUACAGUCUAUACCUAAAUAAAGUGCCCAACUUUAUUUAUCAACUGCGAACUAAAUUUAUUUAAUCAUAAGAUAACUUGUAUUUAUGUCUUCUGUGAAUCCACAUGGUGAUCACAUAAAUACAUAUAAUAUGAUUAAAUGGACUUUAAUACAAACAUUAAUGCAAUGAAGAUAUUUGAAUAAAAUACCUCAUUUAUUUUAUUAAUCAGAAAAAUAGUUUAUUACAAUUAAAUAAACACAUAUGCUUUUAAAGAACAUAUUUUCCCAACAGUUAAUAGUCCGACUCCUAUUUGAAAUCUCUAAAUCACUCUAUCUUCUCGUGAUAAAUUGAAAUCAACUCUUUUUUUUUAUCCUUUAUUUAUAAACAGUAAAUAAAAAAAUCAAUAGAAUUCAACUGAAUAUUCCUUUUGAGAAAUUAUUAAAAAAACAUUAGACGGUAGCGAACUUCCUUGCAUGAACAUGACCUUAAUUCAAUUUAUCAAACAUACGUAUAUGUUACUUUAACAUACUUUUUUCUGAUAGUUUACAAAAUGUAGUGCUUAUUUUCUUUCAUAUACCAAACAGUAGAUGUGUAUACUAGGUUGAAGCAAAUAUAAUAUUAUAAACUCACACUAUGAUGUAUCAUAUUUGGUAAAAUAUUUAGUAUUAACAUCUUAUGACAAUAUUAUUAAAUCUUCAAUGAAAAAUCUUCAUUGUAUUAAAUAAUUUUUAUGCAAUAUAAACUAUGUAUUUCAUUUUAAUGGAAGCUGUUAAGAAAGGUUGUCUAAACUUUAUAUUAAGAUUUUGUAUUUAUAAAUAUAUAGUAUGAUCUAAACCUUACACGUAUAAAAAAAAUUCAUAACUUAGCUAUCUAUAAAAGAUUUAACAAUUUCUUAAUCCUUGAUCAUAAAUAAAGCUUGUUUAGUCCUUAAAUUAUGAGUUUAGUGUCUAUUUAAUCCUUAUAUUUUUAAAAAUACCUCAAAACGUCCUUACUAUUAAAUAUUGACACUUAUGUCAUUAUUUUUUAUUCUUUUUAGCAUGCUUUUACAAUAUUACACUUUAUAGUAAUGUUUCUUUUUUGGAUAUUAAUAAAAAAUUAGAUUAUCAAAUUAAACCCAAAAAUAAAAUAAAAAAACAAAAAAGAUAUAUAUUAAUUUUAGUGGAAGUUCAUGUGUGUCCAAAAAAAAUUACUUUUGUAAAAAAAUUAAAUUAUCAAUUUUUUUAGAAAAAUUGAUAUUUUAACUCCUCAGCAGAGCAUUCCACAAAAAUUAAUAUAUAUAUUGUUUUUAUUUUAAUUUUUGGUCUUAAACUGGUAAUUUAAUUUUUUCUUUUUAAUAAUGUCUAAAAAAAACUUUAUUGUAAUAGGGUAAUAUUAUAAAAAUAAGUUAAAAUGAACAAAAGGUAAUGGCAAGGAUGUCAAUAAUUUAAUGGUAGGGAUGUUUUGAGGUAUUUUUAAAAAUGUAGGGACUAAACGGACACUAACAUCAAAAUAUAGGGACUAAACAAGCUUUUACCCUAUUAUUAAAUCUUCAAUGAAAAAUCUUCAUUGUAUUAAACAAUUUUUUAUACAAUAUAAACUAUGUAUGUCAUUUUAAUGGAAGCUAUUAAGAAAGGCUGUCUCAACUUUAUAUUAAAAUUUUGUACUUAUAAAUAUAUAGUAUGAUCUAAACCUUACACGUAUAAAAUUUUUUCAUAACUUAGCUAUCUAUAAAAGAUUUAACAAAUUUCUUAAUCCUUGAUCAUAAAUAUUAGCAUAUGAUAAUACAAUAUUAAAUUUACCUUAAAGUAAAUUUAUUACUGUCACAUUAUAAAUCUAUAGAAUUGAUUUGAAUUGUUAAUAUUAUUAAGCCAAAGAAAGGUAUAUCAAAUUUGGCUAGAACUGCCUAUUGAAGUAACAUACACGUAUUUUGUAUGGAUACAUUAUGUAGCAAAAAAAAAAAGUAAAGAUUUUUAUAACAAACUUCACAAAUAUCUAAAUUGCAGUGUUGAUGAUAAAUAAUUAAUUUCUUUUAGAAUCCAUUUGCUUUUAGUCUAAAUCAAAAGAAAGACGAUAGGUUCACGGAAUUUUUUCCUUAAAAAAGCAAACGAUCCAAAUUAGAUCAAUAGUCAACCAAUUAAUUAAACAAACAAGGUCCCCUGAAUUUAAUGAGAACUUGAGCUUUUGCUUUAUCUCAGCAACAAGUUGAGUUUUAUGUGAUUUAAGAUUAAAAUAUUAAUCAAACUAUAAAAUUAUGUCAUUUAAGAAAUUAUAUUUAAGUAUUUACUUAAUUAAAGUUUUAGUUCAUCACCGAGUGACUUAGAUUUAAGACUUCAGUUGAUCUCUCAUUUGAGAAUGUUAAUUCACUUACUUAGCAUUAUGUGACUUUUUUUUAAAGAUUUUGAAUUGUUUAAUGGUUAUGAGAGUAAAAUUUAAAAUAAUAAAAAUUAAUAUAAUUAUCAUGUCAAUGGAACCGCAUCAGAGUAGUUAAUUCAUAAAAGAAUAUGAAUUCAAAUAUCACAUAAAUGAAAUUUGAAAAAAAAAUUGUUAACAUCACAGUUAUAAAUUAAUUUUAAAUUUUUAAUGAAUCGGUCAUAAUAUUCUUUUUUUGCGAAAUACUCAUAUUAAUAUUUAAGUUAUUAGAUAAGGAUCCAAUGUUAAUAUUUAAUAAAGUUGUGUAAAUUCGAUAACAAAAAAAUCAAAUUCAAAUAAAAGAAAAAUUUACAUAUUGUUCAGCUAGCUUGGAAUGACAUAGUACUCAUAUAGAGUUACAGUGUUCAAUAAUAAUUACGACUAAAAUAAAAGUUUUUGAUUCGCCAUAUCUUUCAGAUAUGUAAUCAAAUGGCAGAUGUUUUAACUAAAUUUGCAUUCUGUUGCUUUGAUUUUUAUGUUUGGCUAGAUUCCAGCCAAUUAUCUUGUUAUUUUUUUUUAUUGGUUAUUAGGAAAUAAAUGAAGUCUAUUAUUCAGAAAAAUAAUUACCUGCAGAAAUCGUACACCAUUUUCAAAAGGUAAUAAUAUUCCGAAUUAAUUAAAAAAAAAUGAUCCGUACCCACGCAAGUUCACACGCAACCCACCAAAAAUUGAAAAAGGCAAAAAGAAAAGAAACAAGGAACACGUUCAUUCAAUUUAUCGUGAUACGAUAAAUUCUUAACAAAAUAUCAUAUCAAUUUCACCAUCAAAACUACGGUAUUUUUUUCUAUAUAUUAAAGAAUAUUUUUAAAAGACUGUAUUGGAACUCACCGUCCCCAAUUUCCCAGUGAAUAAAAUAAAUAUAAAGGACUCGUGCGUGCCUUCCCUUUCCCUCCUGUUUUUGUCACCCGCCUCUUCCUCAUCUCGCCACUUGUUUCCCGUCUGCACCCACAAAAACGUCACCGUUUCAUUGUCACUCCUUCCUCACACCCCUCUCCUUUUCCCCACGUUCCUUUGUUUCAUAUCAACUCAAAAAUUCAUUCUUUUAACAUUAAUAAUAAUAAUUUUAUUGAAAUAAAUCAAUCAAAAAGGUAACCCCAAAUAUCUCCUCCAGCUUUUUGCUGCUUCUUAAUUUUGAUCGACUAUGACGAUGUACUAAAGCUUCAAUUUUUUUCGGUUUUUUCAGUUAACGCUUUUGCUUCAAGAUUUCGUUUUACUUUCCUUGAAAAUUAAAGCUCACCUAAUUGAUACGAUUAAAAUUCUUUUUUUAGCUGAAGAUUGAUACAAUUUUCACUUCAUUUUUUUCUUACCUUUGUAUCCGGAUUUGCUGCUUUUGUUUGAAGUUUUUUUUUUUUGUAUUUUCUGUGGAGCUAAGCAUGACUUUGGUUACAGCUAUUUAUUAUUUUAACAUAUAAUUAGACUAAUUUAUUUAUUUGUUGAUUUGUUAUAUUUUAAAUAUGGUUUGAGACUUCUGAUGUUUCAAUAUUUAUUGCACACGUAUAAUGCAGUGGCGUUAAUAAAUGUGGUAUUGUAAAGUUUAAAGCUUUUUGCAUGUGAAUGAGUUGGUGUGAACACUUUCAUUGAUGUUUAAAUUCAUGUAUGUGGUGAUCUCUGAUCUGGGUACACGUUAGAUUUUAAUUUUAUGGCAUGGUCCAUUUGACCAAAUAUUUUUGUUACUUGAACUGAUGAACACGAAUUUUGAAGUGAAUACGUGUGUUUGAUUGCUGGAUUUUGUAAGAUUCCUUUGUAGAAAUAUUUUAAUCCCACGAACACUAUGAUUCAGCAAAUAGCUUUGGGAAUGGUAUUGAUUCUAUUCUUGUUUGUUUAUUCAUAUAAGAACUUUGAUGCAACCUUCAGAUUCCUUUUGAACCAUGUAGUUAUAUAUUUGGAUUAGUUUAUAGCAUAUCAACUGUUGAUUGUUGCAUUUAGAUGUUUUUGUUACUUCCAUUCUUGAUUGCUUAUCAUAUGUUAGUUAAAUAGCAAACAUUAUACAUGUUCUUGAUUGAUUAGUGCUCUUUCAAUCAAUGCUCUUUCAAGCACUUGGUUUUUGGUCAAGUGGCUAGAGUUACUCUUUCACAAGUGUGAGGGUAGUGAUUAGAAUCCCCACAAAAAAAUUAUGGGGGUUUAAUUUCUUUCCUCACGUUUGAGUGAAGACAGUCUUCUCCCUUUCGAAAUGUGAGUAGAGUUGAUGUCUCUCGAAUAUUAAAGAGGGUAAAAUCUGGACAAUAUUAUAUAAGAUUUAAUGUAAAUUAGUCUCAAUAAUUAUCUGAUUGUAUAUAUUUGUCAAGUUUCCUCCUCUUAUGUACCCUAUAACUAUAGUAUACCCAGGCCACCCCCUCUCCCUAUUAAACCCUGUACAAAAAACAAAUAUCCCAAUGGAUUUUUACAUUGUAGUUUUGUUUAUCUUUAAUGUUUUCACCAAGUUUUCACUAGAAUCCAAUUCGAAUUAAUUGAGUGGUUAUGCUCGAAUCCAACUUAAAUCUAGGUUUAAAUGUGUUAAAUUUAGGUUAAAAUGUGUUUUUUGAGAGAAGCUUAUGCUAAAUUUAGGUUUAAAUGUGUUUUCUAAUGUUCGGGGCAAGUGACUUAGAUAAGAUAAUUAGAUGGGGAGUUAAAGUGAUAUAUAUAGUGAACUGAGGUGGUCAUUUGGAGAAUAAUAGAGAGAGCUUAGCGGAGUUCUGUAGGAGUUAAUUUAGAGAGUUGAUAUGAGGGCUAAUUUGUGCUCAAGAGUAGCUCAAGUGUGCUUGGUGGAUAAUUCAAAUGGUCUCACAAACUACUUAGUGUAACUGAAGUAGCUUAGAUAAGCUCAUAUGUAAAAUAUAAUCCCGAUCUUAAAUUGAGAAUAUAGUAAAAUAAGCUUAAAUAUAAAGAACGCACAAUGUUUACGUGAUUUGGUCUUCGACCUAUAUCCAUAAGAGCAAGUCAUUACUAAUCUACUGUAUAAAUGAGAGAUUACAUUAAAUUUUAAGAUGAAUAACACAAGCUAUAUAGCGAGAUAUCUAUAUAAAGAUGUUUGGUGUUAAUAAAUAUGAAGAUGGUGAAUAAAGACACGAAGAGCGAUAAUAUGGCAGAAAAGAUGAUGGGGGUGGAGAAUAGAAAAUGGACUCUUAAAAAUGAAGAAGUUUGUGGUGAUCUAGAAGAUAAAGAUAGAGAGAGGAGAGCCCACAAAUAUGGGUGAAUAGGACUUAGUGGAGGCUAAUGUCUCGAUCAUAAAAUUUAGGGAUAGAUGUCAUGCUUAAGUCAAAAGAAGAGGAAUUUUUUAAGGCUAUAUGUCACAUCUUAGGAAAAAUGAGUAAGAAUAUUCUUUUUGUACUAGGUUCAUUUUUAUUAUAAAUAUUUUGGAAUGUCCAACAUUGACUAUCGAUUUCCAAAACCAUCCAAUGUAGGAAAUUCUUCUAAAUGGCUUCUUUAAUUGCUCCAAAUAUCAUGCCUAUUUUGACCUUACAAUUGUCCACGUGUCAUCCAUUUAUUGCUCUCAAAAUAUACUUCUAAAUUUACCCCCAAACAAGUGUUGGGAUUAUGUGCUCUUUUAAAGCAUAUUAAUUUAUUUUCGGAUUAAUAAAAUAUUUGAGAUAUUUUCAAUUGCAUAAAUAUAUUGAAAAAGGUUUGUUUAAUCAUAUUAUAUAUAUUUAUGUGAUCAUCAUAUGGAUUCACAGAAGACAUAAAUACAAGUUAUCUUAUGAUUAAAUAAAUUAAGUUCGCAAUUGAUAAAUAAAGUUAGGCGCUCUAUUUAUGUUUAGGCUGUAAUAAAUUCAUUGAAUGAUUUAUAUUAAUCAUGUAUGAAUUUACUGAUGUAGUUUGACUACAUUGAGCUGGAUCACAUAUGAGAUUUAAUUAACCUUGAAAUGACUGUCAGAUGUUGAGUGUUAGAAAAUGCAUAUUUAUAAAGGAGAAAACCGUCAUUUUACAUUUCAAGUCUUACUAACAACCCUUACUUUUAUGUAUUUAACCUUCUUGUGAUGUAAUUACGUGUGUGUUAUUUUAAUUAAGUAUUUUAUGUAUUUUAGGGGCAUUAUAGUCAUUUCACAAUAAAGGAGAGAUCAGACGGCAAAACGGACAUCACUUUUGAACUCAGGACGGUCGAAAACCUUAGGAGGGGCAUAAAAGGAAAAAUGGCACUAUUCACAUGUACGGUACUAUUCACGUAUACGGUACUGUCUACGUUACUGUUCACGACACUGUUCACAAAGACGGAUCGAUGACGUGGCAUUGACCGAUGAUGUGGCAUUGACUGAUGAGGUGUCACGAUCCUGUUGGACUAAAAUUCUUAUGUACUGUUGACGGUGACGUGGCAGCAUAUCAGUGGACGAAAAAUCUCGCGUACGGUGCAUGCAUCACACAGGAUUAUUUUCAACCAAACCGCGUUACUGUUCAUCCGGGUCAAACCGUGUUACUGUUCAUCCGCGUGGUCAAACCGUGGACUGUUGACUGAUGACGUGGCGCAAUCCUGAGCGUCCAAACUGUUUUUAAUCCGAUGGCCAUGAUUUACUCCAUGUAUCUAUAAAAAGGGGGCCUCCCCCCCCUAAUUUGAUAUCUCUGAAUCCAUUUUUGGGAUCCAUUUUCUGUAAUUCCUUCUCCAUCUUGUAUUUUCUUUGUAUUUUAAUAAAUUCCCUUUUUGCCCCUAGUUCAAUUAUGAGUAGCUAAUUUCUUUUCAAGCUUGGGUUGAAGGUGAAGUCUCAACAUGUGUCAUGGGCUUUAUUUGGUAAAUUUAUUUUCUUUUCCCCUCUAGUUUUUGUGGAUGAUUUGACUUAUCGUCGACAAAUAAUACUGAUCUUGUCUAGAUACCGCCUUGGUUACACCGGCUCUCUAGUAUAAGGUUAUUAUUAUUUGGCACGAUAAGCCCUUAGCACCAUAUUGAUUAGAGCGUGGUUCAUGAGGUGUGGAUUCCCCCCUCAUGAUUUAAUUGGCAUUAAUAUGGAUUAUUUAGCCCAUGAUGCAUGUUGAUACGGAUCCAGAUACCCAAGUACGUCAUUUCAAUAGAAUUCUCUUCAAUUUAUUCUCGCCAUUUCAAUUCCAAUUUCAGAAUUUAUUCUCGCCAUUUUAAUUUAAGUUUUAGCAUAUUCCAAAUCAUUUCCACCACAAUUCCAACCACCCAUUUUGCAAAAUUAAUUCUAUACACAAUUAAAAUCCACCUCCUCGUGGGAUCGACACUCGUCACCAUUGAUCUACACUACAAUAGAUUCGUGCGCUUGCGAGUUCAUUAAAAUUUGCACAACAAGUUUUUGGCGCCGUUGCCGGGGAGGUAAGUAAUUUUAAUUCAUAGAAUUAAUUUUUGUGAAUAAUUUCUUUUAUUUGUUUUCUUGUAUUUUUUUUUCUUAUUAAAAAAAAAAAAAAAAAAAAAAGUGAAUCUACAUUUAAAGGUUAGUAUUUCUUUUCUUUUUCUCUUCUUUAAAAUUCUGUAAUUUAAUUUUCAAUUUAUUUUUUCUUUGUAAUUUUUGUUUAUUUUAUUAAUUUAAUUUUUAGUUAAUUUAUUUCACGUAUUUGUUUUUGUGUGUUUUUAUUGAAAGGUUGUAAUAACGCAAUAAGGUUAGUAUCGUAAUUUCGCCCUCUUCUUUAUUUUUAUUUGUUUUGUUCCCAUCUUUAUUUUUAUUUUAUUUGUUUUGCAUGCAUGGUCGUAGGUCAUUAUUACCUAAUCUUGAACCUAUAGACCUUGAAUUAGAAAAAACACUUCGCACACAAAAGCACAUUAAUAAAUUUGGAAUGGAUCUACAAGCACCACAGGAGAGGCCAUUUAAGGACUAUUUUAGUCCCUUAGCUAAUUUGAGCACAUCAUGUAUUAGAUACCCAAAUGUAGCUGCUAGGAGCUUUGAACUAAAACCUAGUGUGCUAAAUUGUCUCCCCACAUUCUAUGGCCUAGAAAAUGAGGACCCAUAUAAUCAUCUGAAUGAUUUUCAUGCAAUUUGUCAAACUUUUAAAUAUGAAAAUUUUUCAGACGAUGAUGUUAAACUUAGAUUAUUCCCAUUUUCUUUAAAAGAUAGAGCUCGUUCAUGGCUUAAUACAUUGCCUGCCAAUAGCAUUGCAUCAUGGGAACAAAUGGUUACAAAAUUUCUAAAUAAAUAUUUCCCAGUUCAUAAAACCAAUUCUAUUCGCAGGGAAAUUUCAGAGUUUACACAAAGAGAGGACGAGCAGUUUUUCGAAACUUGGGAGCGAUUCAAUGGGCUACUCUUGAAGUGUCCACAUCAUGGGUACGAAAAAUGGCACCAAUGCCAAUACUUUUUGGAGGGAUUAUUGCCGAAUGUGCAAGAAUGGCUAAUGGCAACAAGUGGAGGAGAGUUAAUGUCAAAAAGUGCAUCAGAAAUUUGGGAGUUUUUCCAGCGACAAGCGGACAAUUCCCAACAACGGAGUCGAUCACUCAGGAAUACUAGAAGGAUUAAAGGAGUGAAUGAGGUUCACAUUGGCGAGUCAACUUCGGGAAUCAAAGAAGUCAAGGAGAUGGUUGAAGGUCUUGCUCGACAAAUAGCAUCGUUAUCGACUGCUAAAUCAACAGAAUCACAUGACCAUGACUCAUACUCCGAUCAAGCCAAUGCCAUAGGUGUAAUGAGGAAGCCAUCUAAUUACAACCCAUACUCCAACACAUAUAACCCUGGGUGGAGAGACCACCCCAAUUUUUCAUGGUCUCAAGGAUUCCAACAGAAUGGACCAGCAGCUCCAGCUCCACAAAUUCCUCAAGUUCCUCAAGCCUCUCAGCCACCAUUCAGACCAUACAAUCAGAACCAGAACUACUCUCAACCCAGACCAUGGGAGGAUUCAUUCCAGAAUUUCAAGAAUGCUACUCACUCUACGAUUGAGCAACAGAACCGCACCAUUGAUGGACUACGAAAUGAGUUGAGAGCAGGCUUCAACUCACAAGCUCAAUCAGUUUCAAGCCUGGAGAAAAUGGUGGGACAACUCGCUUCUUCAGUUCAGACCUUGGCAAUGACUGUUGAGAAAGGCAAGUUUCCAAGUCAACCAGUGCCUAAUCCUAAAGGAGUGCAUGAAGCAAGUACCAGUUCACCACAGCAGCAUGGAGAGGUCAAAGCAGUCAUGACCUUGCGAAAAGGAAAGGAAGUCGACAACAAAGUGGAGAUGCCGGUGACAAAAGAAAAUCAAAUUGUACCUGUGAAUGUUGAAGACUCACCACCGGAGGAGAAAGAAGAAACCAGCCCACGAGAGUACGUUCCCAAAGCUCCAUUUCCUCAGAGGUUAGCUAAAGGAAAAAAGGGAAAAUCCACAGGUGAGAUUCUCGAAAUCUUCAAACAGGUAAGUGUUAACAUCCCUUUACUUGAUGCUAUAAAGCAAGUUCCAUCUUAUGCCAAGUUUCUUAAAGACCUUUGUACUAAAAAGAGAAAUAUGCAUGUUCAAAAGAAGGCAUUUUUAACAGAAAACGUUAGUUCUAUACUCCAACAUAAAAUUCCUUUAAAAUGCAAAGACCCAGGCUCCCCCACUAUCUCAUGUAGUAUAGGGAACCACACAAUUGAGAAUGCUUUGUUGGAUUUAGGAGCUAGUGUAAAUUUGUUGCCUUAUUCAGUAUUUGUGAAACUUGGACUGGGAGAAUUACACCCAACUCCAGUGGUGUUACAGCUUGCAGAUCGGUCCACGAAAAUACCUCGUGGUAUUGUGGAGGACGUGCUUAUCCAGGUAGACAAGUUUUAUUUUCCUGUUGAUUUCAUUGUAAUUGACACUCAACCAAUACAGGAUUCAAGGAAGCACAUCCCCAUUAUCCUAGGCCGACCUUUCUUGGCAACUGCGGAUGCUCACAUUCAAUGCAGGACUGGAAAUAUGCAGUUGUCCUUCGGCAACAUGACUAUGGAGCUAAACAUUUUCAACAUUGCCAAACAACCUCACAGUGCAGAUGAUGGAAUUGUUGAUGUGGAUUUAAUUGAAGCAUUAGUUGAUGAUACAUUUCUUUCAAACCUCAGUGAUGAUCCUUUACAAACAUGUUUAACUCACUUUGGUUUGGAUUUUGAUAUUGACAGAUCGGUCGAUGAGGUCAACGCCCUACUUGACUCAGCACCAUCCAUGGACACUAAUAAAUGGAAGUCAAGAGUUGAACAACUAGCACCAUCAGAGAAGAAACUCAUCCCAUCAUCAGAAUCACCACCGAAACUCGAGCUCAAACCAUUACCCAACACUCUGGAAUAUGCAUUUUUGGGAGAAGAAAGCACUCUACCAGUAAUCAUCUCAUCAUCCCUAAAUGACGAACAAAAAGGUAAGUUGUUGGAUGUUUUAAAAGAGCACAAAGGAGCAUUAGGAUGGACCAUAGCAGACAUAAAAGGUAUAAACCCUGCAGAUUGCAUGCAUUACAUUCACCUUGAUGAAAAUGCUAAAACUACUAGGGAGAUGCAACGUCGGUUAAAUCCUAACAUGAAAGAAGUUGUUAGAACUGAAGUCCUUAAGCUAUUAGAUGCAGGUAUCAUUUACCCAAUUUCUGAUAGUUCAUGGGUCAGUCCUGUACAAGUCGUCCCCAAAAAGUCAGGAGUCACAGUAGUUACCAAUGCUGAUAAUGAAUUGAUACCAACUAGAGUAACUACAGGAUGGCGUGUAUGCAUUGAUUAUAGAAAGUUGAAUUCUGUCACACGUAAAGACCAUUUUCCUUUACCAUUUAUUGAUCAAAUGCUUGAUAGAUUAGCAGGCCAUGAAUUUUAUUGCUUUCUAGAUGGCUACUCAGGAUAUAAUCAGAUUCCCAUAGCACCAAAAGAUCAAGAGAAGACCACUUUCACUUGCCCUUUUGGCACAUUUGCAUAUAGGAGAAUGCCAUUUGGAUUAUGUAAUGCACCUGCUACAUUUCAACGAUGCAUGUUAAGCAUUUUUUCUGAUAUGGUUGAACGAUUCCUUGAAGUCUUUAUGGAUGACUUUUCUGUCUUUGGUGACUCGUUUGAUCAAUGUUUACAUCAUCUAACGCUAGUUCUGCAGAGAUGUACCGAGAAGAACUUAGUCUUGAAUUGGGAGAAGUGCCAUUUUAUGGUAAAACAAGGUAUUGUUCUCGGUCACAUCAUUUCGAGCAAAGGUAUUGAGGUUGACAAAGCCAAGGUGGAUCUCAUUUCUAAUCUUCCUCCACCUAAAACAGUCAGAGAAGUAAGAUCUUUCCUUGGGCAUGCUGGUUUCUAUAGACGUUUCAUUAAAGAUUUUAGCAAAGUUUCUAGACCCUUAUGUAAUUUACUUGCUAAGGAUGUAUCUUUUAUCUUUAAUGAUUCAUGUCUAAUGGCAUUUGAAAAAUUAAAGCAGUUGUUGACAUCAUCACCCAUCAUUCAGGCCCCAAACUGGAGCUUACCAUUUGAGCUCAUGUGUGAUGCAUCUGAUUAUGCAGUAGGAGCAGUAUUAGGACAAAGAGUUGAUCGAAUUCCUCACGUUAUUUACUAUGCUAGUAUGACAUUGAAUGAUGCACAGUUGAACUAUUCAACUACUGAAAAAGAAAUGCUAGCAGUAGUGUUUGCAUUGGAAAAAUUUCGAUCUUAUCUCAUUGGUUGUAAAAUAAUUAUAUUCACAGAUCAUGCUGCUCUUAAAUAUCUUCUCACAAAGAAAGAUGCAAAAGCUAGACUAAUUCGUUGGGUGUUACUUUUGCAGGAAUUCGACUUGGAAUUCAAGGAUAAGAAAGGCACAGAAAAUGUUGUGGCGGACCAUCUCUCUCGUCUCCACUUUGACACAAUUACAGAAUCAUUACCAUUGAAUGAGUCAUUUCCAGAUGAACAAUUAAUGAAUGUGGAAGUAUUACCUUGGUAUGCUGAUAUAGUUAAUUAUCUUGUUACAGGUAAACUUCCAGAGCAUUGGACCAAGCAAGACAAGGCUAAAUUCUUUGCGGAAAUAAAGAAUUUCUUUUGGGAUGACCCAUAUUUGUUCAAGUAUUGUGCAGACCAAAUUGUUAGACGAUGUGUCCCUGAAAGUGAAAUUCAAAAUAUCCUUUCAUUCUGCCAUGAACAAGCUUGUGGAGGCCAUUUCAGUGCUAAGAAAACAGCGACUAAAGUUUUACAAUGUGGUUUCUAUUGGCCAACUAUAUUUCGAGACGCUUACACUUUCUGUUCUUCAUGUGAUAGGUGUCAACGAAUGGGGAGCAUUACACGAAGGAACAUGAUGCCACUAAAUCCAAUUUUAGUGGUUGAGAUUUUUGACGUAUGGGGUAUCGACUUCAUGGGACCCUUUCCGCCUUCUUUUGGCCAUCAAUACAUAUUGGUUGGUGUUGACUACGUAUCGAAAUGGGUGGAAGCAAUUCCAUGCAGAACUAAUGAUCACAAGGUGGUGAUAGGAUUUUUGAAAAGCAACAUUGUUUCACGCUUUGGAUUCCCUCGAGCAAUAAUCAGUGAUGGUGGCGCCCACUUUUGUAACAAAGCAUUCAAAGCUCUUUUGACAAAGUAUUCAAUCACACACAAAGUGGCGACCCCGUAUCAUCCGCAAACCAGUGGCCAAGUUGAGAUCUCCAAUCGAGAAAUCAAGCACAUAUUAGAAAAAACGGUGAGGCCAGACAGAAAAGAUUGGUCAUUACGACUUGAUGAUGCAUUAUGGGCAUAUAGAACGGCUUUCAAGACCCCGAUUGGGAUGUCACCUUACAGGCUAGUGUAUGGAAAAGCUUGCCACCUACCUGUGGAACUCGAGCAUCGUGCAUAUUGGGCCAUCAAGAAAUUCAACUUUGACAUGCAGCAAGCCAGCUCAGAAAGAAGAUUACAACUGGCAGAACUUGAAGAAAUUCGCAAUGAUGCAUACGAAAAUGCCAAGAUUUACAAGCAACGAAUGAAAGUCUUUCAUGACAAGCACAUUAUGAGAAAAUCAUUCACUCCAGGUCAGAAAGUGCUUUUAUUCAAUUCUCGCUUGCACCUAUUCCCAGGUAAGUUACGCUCUCGAUGGUCUGGUCCCUUUAUUGUUCAUACUGUUUUUCCACAUGGGGCAAUUGAAAUUAAAGACCCAAAGAACGGUGUCACGUUUAAAGUUAAUGGUCAAAGAUUAAAGCCAUAUCUAGAAUACCAACCACAUGGAGAAGACACCGAAAUAAAUUUGAGUGACCCACCAGAUUUGAAUUGAUUUUUUUUUCUUUUCGUUGAUUUGAUUUUGUUUUCUUUCUUUAUAUUAUUCUUUUGCUAAUUGAAAUUAUUUUUGCAUAAGUGUGUUUGUUUAACAAUUGAGUUUUCUCUUAUCAUUUUUAAUCAUGAGUACCUUACUUAGACCGUUCCUCCUGAACAUUCUUAAACCACUUCAACGUGUCAAAACUCAUCUCAAAAAGCAGAUUCAAUUUUGUAAAACACAACGCAUUUGGGCUCUACAACCACCAGAGUUAGUAGCCUAUGUUGAGGGUUUAGAACGCCAACUCAGAGACAUUGAGCGAAGUGUUUACGACAUCCAGUUGGAGCUUGAGGUAAAUUCAAUAAGAGGACGAUUUUAAUUUUCUUUGUGUGUUUUAAUUAGUUUUUCUGUUUGUGUGCUUUAGUUUGUUACCCCGGUGAAGUGGCGGAUAACGGUACUCCGUGACAAUCAAGUCGGUUACUUCAGUUUCCCAUAAUAACUGACAUUCUGAGGCGAAAGUAUGGACAGAAACGAGAUUCUAGCGAAGCUUCACAAGCGAUUCCCUUCACUUCCUCAGAAUGCCCUCCUUACAAUCUAUAAAUCCCGGUCUGAACGCAUGCGAUUGCUCAUGAGGAAUAACAUACCUGCAGACAUCCGUUGGUUAAUCGAGGCUAAAGUACGAUUGGCAGGUGAGUUACCUCCUAAAUUUAUUGCAUACAUGCCUGGUUGUGGUAAAGGAAAUUACGCAAAAAAACGACGAGCUCGAAGAAUUUCUGUUGCUUGUCACAAGUGUGCCAGAAUGAGUUGCGAUAGAAACCCAUGUUCUUUAGGAAUGGCGUCUGAUAACAGGGAAGAUAAGAUUCAAUUCAUUAGGGAUGGCUUGAAUAAGGAGUCAUUGGAUGAUAUCCUUCUGUCUCUUGAAACGCAUCCCAGUGGAUAUGUGCAAGGAGCGAUUCUCCGGUUAUGGCCAUUAUUCCAGAAAGAGCAUGCACGAUAUAGUCUCGGGAAUCUGACUAUAAACGACCCUGUUUGUCAGUUUAUAAGAAAACUGGAUGGGAAGCCUAUCCUCGACCCAUAGAGGGCGUUCAAGCCGUUUCUGGACGUAAAACCAGAGGAAGAUGUGAGCCACAGUCGCAACUACGUGUAAAUAUCCUUUUACUUUCUGUUAUUUUAUUUCACUAUUGUUUUAUCGUUUGCAUUAUUGCCUUUAAUAAUUUUAUUACUGUUUGCUUUUUCCUUUUUACUGUUUUCUUUUUGACUCGCGAGCCACGUGCUUUACGCGUUAUUUGACACUGACAUGUUACCUCAUACACAGCUGUGAUCCACUAUCACCAAGAUUCUUAAAUGUGAUUUACUUUUUGUCAAGCACUCACAAAUUAUUUUUGAGAAGUAUCACAAUGGCAGCCACUCCCAAUAGACAAUUCAAGAACAUUUGUGUGCUUUCUGGAUUUACCUAUGGCAAACAUAAAGAGUUCGUUGAGGCAGCCAUAGAUCUUGGUCGAAGCAUAGCAGCGAGAAAAUUACAUUUGGUGUAUGGAGGAGGUAACCGAGGGUUAUCAAAAAUGGUCUCAGAAGCAGCUUUUAUCAGAGGAAGUCAAGUGUUAGGCAUCAUCCCAAGAGUCCUAAAACCAUUGGGCAGUUCGUCUGACUCAUCAACAGGAGAAGAGUUAGUCAUCUCAAGUAUGCAAGAAAGAAUAACUGAAAUGCUUAAUCAUGCUGAUGCUUUUAUUUUCCUUCCAGGAGAUCUUGCAACACUAGAGGCACUUAUGACACUAGCAUCUUGGGCCCAUCUGCACAUUCACCAGAAACCCAUCGGUUUGUUAAAUGUCAAUAACUUUUAUGAUGGCUUUAUCGCAUUUCUUAACCAUGCAAUAAAAAACUAUUUCAUUCCUUCUAAUGUGAAAAAACUCUUUAUUUGUGCUCACACUGCUAAUGAGCUACUUGAUAUGUUACAAGCUUAUAAACCGGAGCCAGACCCCUGGACCUUUGUGUUGGAGCGACCAAAUAAUGAUGGUAACAGUAGCCGCAGUAAGAAGUACAAAUUAGAUUUAACUCUCCGCCUGUAAAUAUUUUCUUCUGUGUUGCACCACCCAGGUGAUGUCUUCUAAACUCUACUUCUUUCCUUUAAAACAUUGAGGACAAUGUUUCGUUCUGGUUGGGGGGAGGGAAUAGUCGACAAUUGUGGAAUCUUGGUUAAGUUUUUACUGAUUUUUUGUUGUAGAAACUAACUGUUGCUAACGUUUUGUGUUGAAGAUGGCUGAAUAUGGAGUGUAGUUACUCUAGAAACGCAUCUUCUUAGUUAAAAAAAAAAGAAACAAAAAAUUCUUUUUCUAAUUAAUUUUUCUACAUCAUUUUCACAUUUCUGCAUGCAUAUUUUCCUUUCAUGUUUAGAAUAGGUUGGGGGGUAGAAUGUUGUUUAAAAAAAAAAAAAAAAAAAUUGUGUUAUUUGUUUUAACAUUGGAUGACAUGAUUAAUUUCAAAUUUUAGUAUUUGUAUUAUCUUUGGUCUCAAGUGAUGUUACGCUAUGUUUGCUACUUUACAUGUUGAUGUCGGAGACAAAUAUGAGUUGCUUGAAGGAAUGAACAUGUCAUAAAUAAGUGCCAAGUGAGUAGUUGAGCCUAUCAUUUUCUUGGAGAGUAACCCUUUUGCCCAUUCUUUAUACAGCUUAGCAGUUUAUUAUUUUAUACACGAUCUCUAGAUUUCUUUUAAGUUAACCCUUUAAAAAAAAUAUAUAUGGUAAAAUUAAAAAAAAAAAAAAAGAAAAAAGAAAAAAAUGUGUGUUGCUACAUUGGGAGGCCCAUCUAACUAGUAGAUAUGGAUAAUUAUUUAGAGCCCUAAAAGACGAUGGAAAGGCCAUCUUUGAUCCGUUUGAGCCUUUCUAGCCAUCCCUUUUAUUAAAUAUCCAUAGUUACCCCUUUUGAGCCUUUAAAAAAAAAAAAAAAAAAAAAAAAAAGAACAAAAACCUUUUCUUUGUCAACUUAUCAUCUUGACCCACUCCGAUUUGGAGUAUUACCCAAUGUCUUUUAAGUUCCAUCACCUAUUUAUGUUUGAGAAAAUGUAAAUAAUUAUGUUGUUCAGUGAAGUUAUGCCAAAUAAAAGCAAAAAAAAAAAAAAAAAAAAAAAAACAAAAACAAAAACAAAAACAAAAGUUGUUGUUUCAAAAGAAUAAAAAUAACAAUAAUAGGUGAAAUCCACCUUGCAAGUUCCAAAAAAAAAAAAAAAAAAAAAUCUGCAUUUUUCUCAAACAUACACUUUGUUUUCCUUAUUUCCUUUCUUUGUUAGCCAUAUCCCUAGCCUACGUUACGUCCUAAUAAAAGUCCUUCUUGAUUUUAGAGAACUAUAGUUUGAAGUAGAAGCUAGUUAUAUGGGCUAAAAAGAUGUAGUGGUGCAUAAUAAAAAAAAAAAAAAAAGAUAAAUAAAGUGGGUUGACUAACAUUUUAUUUGACUUGAGAUCGUAUUAUUUCUAAGCUAAGGGCAUAUUUAUUUCAUCUUGGUGAGAGCAUGUGAUAUCACUUCUUUAUUAUUUUCUCUCUCAAUUACCAUUCAUUGGAGUGACUAUUUUUAUUGGGUUUAAUUUAUUUGUGAGAGUGUCAUUACUUCCAGUGAGAUUUUGGGGUUUGACAUGUCAUUCUUGAAAGUAGCUAUAACAAAGUCUACUGGGCCGAUUCAUGUGGAUGGUUGAUGUGGGUGUGAUAUUGCUUUAGACUGGAGAUAAUGCUUAUACUUUUAUUUGAUUGCUAUCAUUAAUCUGAUUGAAUAAACACGAGUGUUUCUAAAAAUAAAAAAAAUAAAAAAAUUUGAAUUUGAAUUUUGUUUUCGCUUUAUUUGCUAGGGACUAGCAAUAAGCUGGUUGGGGGGUGUGUUGAGUGUUAGAAAAUGCAUAUUUAUAAAGGAGAAAACCGUCAUUUUACAUUUCAAGUCUUACUAACAACCCUUACUUUUAUGUAUUUAACCUUCUUGUGAUGUAAUUACGUGUGUGUUAUUUUAAUUAAGUAUUUUAUGUAUUUUAGGGGCAUUAUAGUCAUUUCACAAUAAAGGAGAGAUCAGACGGCAAAACGGACAUCACUUUUGAACUCAGGACGGUCGAAAACCUUAGGAGGGGCAUAAAAGGAAAAAUGGCACUAUUCACAUGUACGGUACUAUUCACGUAUACGGUACUGUCUACGUUACUGUUCACGACACUGUUCACAAAGACGGAUCGAUGACGUGGCAUUGACCGAUGAUGUGGCAUUGACUGAUGAGGUGUCACGAUCCUGUUGGACUAAAAUUCUUAUGUACUGUUGACGGUGACGUGGCAGCAUAUCAGUGGACGAAAAAUCUCGCGUACGGUGCAUGCAUCACACAGGAUUAUUUUCAACCAAACCGCGUUACUGUUCAUCCGGGUCAAACCGUGUUACUGUUCAUCCGCGUGGUCAAACCGUGGACUGUUGACUGAUGACGUGGCGCAAUCCUGAGCGUCCAAACUGUUUUUAAUCCGAUGGCCAUGAUUUACUCCAUGUAUCUAUAAAAAGGGGGCCUCCCCCCCCUAAUUUGAUAUCUCUGAAUCCAUUUUUGGGAUCCAUUUUCUGUAAUUCCUUCUCCAUCUUGUAUUUUCUUUGUAUUUUAAUAAAUUCCCUUUUUGCCCCUAGUUCAAUUAUGAGUAGCUAAUUUCUUUUCAAGCUUGGGUUGAAGGUGAAGUCUCAACAUGUGUCAUGGGCUUUAUUUGGUAAAUUUAUUUUCUUUUCCCCUCUAGUUUUUGUGGAUGAUUUGACUUAUCGUCGACAAAUAAUACUGAUCUUGUCUAGAUACCGCCUUGGUUACACCGGCUCUCUAGUAUAAGGUUAUUAUUAUUUGGCACGAUAAGCCCUUAGCACCAUAUUGAUUAGAGCGUGGUUCAUGAGGUGUGGAUUCCCCCCUCAUGAUUUAAUUGGCAUUAAUAUGGAUUAUUUAGCCCAUGAUGCAUGUUGAUACGGAUCCAGAUACCCAAGUACGUCAUUUCAAUAGAAUUCUCUUCAAUUUAUUCUCGCCAUUUCAAUUCCAAUUUCAGAAUUUAUUCUCGCCAUUUUAAUUUAAGUUUUAGCAUAUUCCAAAUCAUUUCCACCACAAUUCCAACCACCCAUUUUGCAAAAUUAAUUCUAUACACAAUUAAAAUCCACCUCCUCGUGGGAUCGACACUCGUCACCAUUGAUCUACACUACAAUAGAUUCGUGCGCUUGCGAGUUCAUUAAAAUUUGCACAACAUCAGACUCAUUAAAUCUCAUAGGCAUUAAUUUUACUGUAAUCUUAAUCUUGAGUUAAUUAUGAUUUCAUGAUUGUAAUUGUUAUUCCAUUUGAGUUAUCAAUGGGCACGACACACACUUGUGGUCAAGAUUACCCGGUAUCUUGGUGGGAGUAAUUAUGAGUAUUGGAGUUAUAGAUUAACAAUAUAGAAUUUGUACGACACAUCUCUUGAUGGGUUUUCAGCACUUUAUCAUAAAAUUCUCUGGCCAGAGUGUGUCAACAUAUUUAAUAUGUUGAAAAUGAUCAUUAGAGAAAACCAGUAAGUGUCAAGGAACAAGAUGUAAUUAAAUCGAUUGGACAGUUGAGAUAUCGAUUUAAUUAACAAUGUGGUACAAAUGAUUAUGCAGUAAAGAAAUCACUGUGGCUUGGGACAAAUUAUUAUUCGAGCAUACAAUUAUGGAGGUCAGUUCCAAUCUUUUAGUGGAGUAGAUUUGGAAUUAAAUAAUUAGACUAGUUUAAUUACAGGCCUAAUUAUUGUAGCCACUAUUGUAUGUUCCCAAAUAAUCCCCGGGUUAGUUUAUUUAAUUGACUGCAGCACUACUGGAUUAAUAAGCAAGAUAACUAGUUGUUUGGGUCAAAAGCCUAAAUAUAUCAUUUAGUGGGAGGCUCCAUUUAAAAUGCUUAUGUAUAAGGGGCCUUAUAUUAUUUUAUAAAGUGGGCCCCCUAUAAGAAAAACAAGUAACGUGACUUUUGUUUUUUUAUUAUUUAGAGCCUAGGGUUUACACUAAAGGAAGAUAUGAAAAGGCUUAUUUUCUCUAAAGAAAAAAAUAUAGAGCCGCAUUAUACAAUUCAGAGAAAAAAAAUUCUCUCUAAUUUUGAGAGAAAUUUUUUUCUCCUUGCUAGUUGCUUUUUAGUGGUGAUAAAGGCGCCCACACGUCAAGUGCAGAUCAAACCUGAGUCAUAGCCUGAAAGAUUGUUUGGUGACGGAUCGUGAUCUAACCAGCGCGGUGGUGACGGAUCGUGAUCUGGGAGCUUAGAAUAAUUUCCAUUGUUCAUCUUCUUAGAUUAUUAAUGUACGAUUUUUAGAUUACGAAUUCUUAUAUGUUGUAUGAGAUCGGUCCUAAAAGUUUUUUAAAAGAAAAAAUGAUUUUUCUAAAGCAACAAGAUCUCUAGUUUUUUAUGUUGUGUUGAAAGAAUUAAAAGACAAGAAACUCUAAUGAAAAAUUUGGUAUUGUCGACACGUGGUUGCUUCCAGUUGUUAGUUUAUUUGUCUUGUAAUCCUUUGGGAGCAGAUGAGGUAAUAGAGGGAGCUCAGCCCUCUUGGUAAAACAAAAUUUUUUUAUAAAUGUCUUUGAUGGUGACUUAUUAUAUGAGUUUCCUUAGAUUGAUGUAAAUUUAGAACGAGUUUAGGGUUUUUUUAAAUCAUAUACUUUGAAAGUUAAAUUAUCUAAUGAAGAUAAUUUUUUAGAGGGAAAGAAAUCAACUUCCAAGACAUAUACCUCCGCAAAUUAGCUUACGUAUUGGUUGAAUUUAUGUACCUCUGCAUAUGGAUUUAACGUCAAUUCAGUCCCAGGAAGCUUCAAUGCUCUUCGGAACUCCCCAAAGCUUCACAAUGCUCUUCUGUCACUCACAAUGCUCUUUAGAACUCCUUAAAGCUUUACAACAUGCUUGAUGAAGAGGCGGGCUGCUUCAUCAACUUUAACAUCGACUGGUGCGGCAAUGAAAAUGGCGUACUUACUAUAGCGGUCGACAACGACCAUAAUGCUACUGUAACCUUUAAAUUUGGGCAGUGUUGUGAUGAAGUCUACAGAUACACUCUCCAAUGGCCUCGUCGCAAGCGGUAGAGGCUCCAAUAAUCUCGAUGGGAGUUGGUGAUCUACUUUGUAUUAUUGGAACACAAGACAAGUCCGCAAGUAGGCCUCGAUGUCGUCCCUCAUGUUCGGCCAAAAGUACGAGGCUUGGACUAGUGCGGUGGUGCACUCAAUCCCUGGAUGUCCAACCUACUUAUAGUCGUGGCACUCCUUGAUGACUUCCUUCCGCAAAUUUCCUAACCUUGGCAUGAACAAUCGAUCUCCUUUGGUGAGAAGGAUGCCUUCUUCUUGCCAAAAUUGCCUUGUCUUGCCUUUAAGCACCUUCUUCAACAAGUCUUUCGCUAGAGGGUCUUGUUGGAGGCCUUCUUUGAUGCGUAAGACAAGGUCAGACUUUGGUUGGCUCAAGCUAAGUGUUGUCAAUUCUACCAUACGACUUAGAAUGUCCGCAACAAUAUUGGCUUUACCCGGUUUGUACUCGAUCCGAUAGUCGAACUUCGUAAGAAAAUCUUGCUACCAAGCUUGCUUGGGGCUCAACUUCUUUUGAGUUUGAAAGUAGCUUGUCGCCACGUUGUCCAUCAUGAUCGUGAAGUAAGAGCUAAGCAAGUAAUGUCGCUACACUUUCAAACAAUGGAUGAUGGUUGUCAUCUCCUUUUCUUGCACAAUGUAGCAGCGUUCCGUAUCAUUUAGCUUUCGACUUUCGAACGCUGCGAGGUGGCCUUCUUCCAUGAGGACUCAAAUGAUGGAAAAAUCGGAGGCAUCCAUUUGGACUUCGAAGGACUUAGUGUGGUCCAGAAGAGCGAGGACGAGUUCUUCGAAGAUUACAUUCUUUAAGUCUUCGAAUGCACAUUGGCACUCUUCAGACCAAUGCCAUGUCCGAUUUUUCUUGAGCAAGUCGGUCAAGGGUGCCACUUUGAUUUAAUAAUCCCUAAUAAAGCGGCGAUAAUAAUUCACCAAUCUGAGGAAUGAGCGAAGCUCGGGCAUUUUCGAGGGAGGCUCCCAUUCGAGAAUGGCCUUCACCUUUGAGUUUUCCGUCAUUAGUUUCCUGCCCGCAAUCUUGUGGCCGAGGAACUCCACCUCUUGUUGAACAAAUGAGCACUUUUUCAUUUUGAGGAAGAGUUCGUUUUCUCAAAGCACUUGGAGGACUUAUUGUAAAUGUUAACCAUGUUCCUCAAGUGUGGUGCUAUACACCACGAUGUUGUCCAAGUACACGACAACAAAAUGGUUGAGGAACGGUUGAAGCACCUUGCCCAUGAGUGUGCAAAAUAUUGCGGGUGUAUUGGUGAGGUCGAAUGGCAUGACAAGGAAUUCGAAGGACCUGCACCUUGUUAUGCAUGCGGUCUUGGGUUCAUCUCCCUUGGCAUGUUAACUUGGUAGUUCCCAGAGCGCAAGUAGAGUUUGGUGAAGUGAUGCCUUUGCCAAGCUGGUCGAAGAGAUCCGCUAUCAAGGGAACUGGGUAUUUGUUCUUGAUAGUGAUCUUGUUGAGCGGCAGACAUAGCCCUUUCCUCCAAUCCAUCAAGGCUGUCUUUGAGCAGCGGACAUAGCUGUUUGGAGCGUAGCCAUGCGAGGUUCCAAGGCAUCAACAGAUGGGGCCUUGGAUUUGCUGCGAGACUUGGCAUGAGCGCGUCCCUCUUCGCGACCGCGGGUUGGGCUCCAGUGGAACAUCCACACCAAUAACACCCUCUUGUGAUGUGUUAGAAGGGUUGGGCAUUGCUCGUGAGCUAACUUUGCAUGGAUGAAACCUUAGCUCUGAUACCACUUGUCACGAAAUGAGUGUUUUACGCAACGAACCCGUGCGACACUUAGACAACUCUUGUCAAAAGUUUCUAAGUAAGCCUUUGAGCUUCUCGACUAGCUAAGCCUGGAGGUUUUCAAAAGAAUUAGAGAGAAGAGAGGAAUAGAGGUGAAAGAGAAAAAUUGUAUUACUCCCAAAGUGUUUACAAGAGAGCUUACAAGAGUACUUGAGUUGCUUGCUCAUAGCUUAAUGCUCAAAUGCCAAAAGCUAUGCCCUAUUUAAAGGGAGGCUUGCCAAGCUUUAGAGUUUUAGAGAAUUCUACCAACUUGUCUAAAUAUCUAGAUGUUUACAUGUGUUAGAAAUGUGUAGAGAAUUAUAGAUAUGUACAAGCUUGAGAUGUACUGGAGUUGGCUUAAAAUUUUUUUAAUCAGGCCAAGUUAGCAGUCUUGGUCUAAUCUUGGGCUCUUGGCCCAGAAUUGUUGACACUUGGGUUAGAAAUUUGGGCGGUCCGCAACAAUUAGCCAUAAAAUUAAGCAUUUUCCAACUUAUAGAAACUAUUGACAAGCAAAAGAUCAGCUAUCUGCGUUGGAGAAUUGAUUCAACACCAUCUCAAAGUAAGCUGGAUAUUGCCCUUGAACACCCAUGAAAGACGGCAUGUCUUGAAACUCAAGUAACGGCAUCCUCCGAAUCGAAACCGGCGUUAAGAGCCUUUGUAUUUUUUGAUGAGUUCAGCUAGGGUUUUUGAGUCUGCAACUUCCAUGUUUUGGAAAUAAGCAUAGAUGCUUUCUACUUCUGCGAAGCCGUCAUCAUCAUAGCCGUCUGAUAUGGUGUCGAUUUGAAUUGAAUCGGAGGGCGUAAUGGUUUUGUGGAUUUGUAAAUGAAGUUUGUUAUGGAUAGAGUGAUUUUGAGACCUUAGAAGUUAAUGGUUUGGAAAAUUGGAAAAUGGGGUUUAUGCGACCUUUGCUUGGAUAUGAAACUAUCAAGACAAGAGCUCUGUGAAUUUUCUAUUUAUUUAUUUAUUUCUUUUUUGUGAAGUGAUGUAUAUACAUAUGCUUACUUAUUAGGGAAGAAUCUCAUCCACCUCUAUCAAAAUCCUUGAUUCAGAGCAAUCAUCUCCAUCACAGCAUCAAUCAACUCUCUGUCAAGGCCAACAAAUCUGUUGUAUAUCUAAUUCCUUUAAUUUAGGAUCAUUUUAACUAUUUUCUUUUACUUGCUUUGUCGAUGUGUAUAAAUCUGUACCAGUGAAUCAAUAAUAUUUAAGCCUUUACACAAUUACUUGCCCAUUCUUGUUACUACUCUUUGUUCAAUAUCUUAUUUUGGAUAAGCUCUUGAUAGGGGAAGAGGUUGGGGAAGGCAACGCAUGUCACGUGAUUUGCACGUGAGACAUUUGGAUUAUGUGGCUAAAUAAAAUAUUGCGAUUAAUUAUCUGCUUCAUUAGUUAAGUAUCUGUUGAGUGUUGAACGCAUGCAAGAUCUAAAGUUGAUUAUUGUUAAGUGAUGUUUCUCUAAAGUUUAUAUGAAAAAUAUUAUUAAAAAAGUUCGUCUAGUCCACAAACUAGUGGUAUCAAAUCUACCACGCGCAGCCUUUAAUAUUGCAUGUUUUCGCUAUCUUUCAGGAAUAAUUCACUAUAUUCCAUGAGAAACUGACUGUGGGAUUGAAAGACGAGUUUCAAACCAAGUUUACUUCCGAAACAAGAAUUGAAUUCAUGAUUCUUGUAACAGUUAAAUUACAAAUUUAAUAAUCUUUUGUAGUUGAAUUUAAAAUGUAUUCUAUCCCUCAUCAAUUAAUGGUCAUCGUUUACAAAUUUUCAGCAUGUGAAUUAUAAAUAUGAAAAUGUGAAAAGUAAAAAAUAAAUUAAUACGUAGAUAUAAUAGAAACAAAUUGACAACAAGAAGCUUUUGAGUAAUUUUUAAAAUAUAGGAAGUAACUAAAUAAUUGACUUUAACGAUAAGGACUAAAAAAAUAUUUAUUGGUCACAGAUGAAAUGAGUAAUUGAAAAAACAUACAAGAUUUAGGUGAAAAAAUGAGAAAUAUUAGGAAUAUAUAUCAUUCUUCCUGAUUUUUAUUCGUCAAAUUUAAGUGUGCCAAUUAAAUCCAGGGACGUCAAGCAAACUAGCCAUGAUAAUAAAUCUAUUCUGCAAUUAGUUAGGCCUCUGUCUUUCAAUUAAGCAUAUAUGUACAGUUAACUAACUCAUACUUGAUUUUCAGAAAUGGCAUUAUUUGUCCUUCCAAUUUUGGACAUGGACCACUACCAUUUUGUGAUGUGAAUUUGUUUUUGAAAAGGUGAUCUGAAUGUUAGCAUUGCGAAACUUGAUAGAAGGAUUAAUUUUCAACACAUCCACAUGAAUCUAGAAUCAUCAUUUAUACCUUCAUGGUUUGUAAGUCAUCAUUCAGCACUCAUUUCGUUUUUUUUUUUAAAUAAAUAAAUAAAUAACUUCAGCAAUUUGGAUAUUUGACCAAAUAAGUAACUGUAUUACUUUAUUAAUAAUUUUUUAAUAUAUAAAGACAAACAUAUUCUUGAUAAUUUUGUGUUUCACAUAUGACACAAAUGAUACUUAGAAAAGAGUAUUUUCAAUAAUUUUUUUUAUAUAAAUACGAGAAUACUUCUGAAAGUAAUUUAUAUAUAAAUGCUAAAAAAAAAUCUCAGAUGACCUUUCUUAAUGAGAAAUUAAAAAAAAAUGUCCAGAAUAUUUAGGAAAUUAUUUUUACCAGUUGAAUUUCUAAUCUCAUGUUUUGGUGUCUAACUUUACUCCAAUUAAUAAAAUUUGUCCAAAAUGUUCAAAACUCUAAAUUUUUUUUUAAAAAAGUCUAUUUCAAAAAAUAACUUGAUUACUACAAAAUAAAAUUUGUAAUAUCAAAUAAAGAAGAAAUUUAGACAAUUAACCAAUUAAAAUCCUCAUUAAUUUUUUUUGGUGACUUAGUAAGGUCUUUUGACCAUAUUUGACCACUAUGGCGUCUUUAACAUAAAUUUUAUUUGAAUAUUUUAACUUCAAUAAUUUUUUAGUAAAAUGAUACAUAUUUGUGAAUGAUUUAUUGUUACUAUUUUAUUAAUACAAUCAUUAACUUUCAAUGAAACUAGCAAAAUGUAUUUGUGACAUGAUAUCGCAUGGAAUUUAUUGGUUAUCAAGUUUUAUGUUAUUUACACAUACUGAGUAUUGAAAAAUUAUUGGGUUUCAAUUCAAAAUGUUAGAUUAUAUAGGUUACAAAACUAAAUACCUAAAUUAAUCCUAUGUUUGCUGCACAACUUCAUUUGCAAACUUCGUAGGCAAAUUAACUACAUUUGGGAGCCUCUGUGAGCCACCAAUUCUACAGUAAUAUGGCAACUAAAACAUGUGAAUAAUUAAUUUCUUAGGUCAAUGGUGCUUGUCAUUAACAAAUUAAGUCGCCAAUAAGCACAUAGAUCAGUUGACAUGAGGCCUCAACUAAGAUCCUCGAUUCGAGAUUUGAGAAUGCAGCUGCGUUAAAUACUUGUUGGAAAAAUUUUGACAUCCUAAAAGUCCAAACCGAGUCAAAUCUUGAUUAAUCAAUACCUAUUAUGAUCUUUAGAUACCAGAUAAUUUAAUAUACCGAAAAGAUAAAAUUAAGUUCAAGAGUGAUUUAUGAUGCUUCAUUGGCUCGAAAAGAUCGAAUCAACAAAAUGGCCUAGAACCACAAGCACGCGUAAUUUGCAGAACAUGCCUAGUUCAUUUCAAAAUUUUGUCAAGUUGGCAACAAAUUAACGAGUGUUUCACAAAACAGUAUUCAAGUUUCACAUCGUGAAAAUAGGAAUUAAUUUGAUCCACUAGUCAACAACAUACAGAACGUUUAUUGCUCAAAUUGCAGAAACUUAAGAAGACAAACAGAUCGAAGAUUAAGAAAAAUCACUUCAAGAAAAAGGCUCGUAUAUGUGACGUUAUACUUUGCCCUCUCACAUAGAUACAGUCAAAUUUUCUAUUUCUUGAUGCUAAAAAAUAAAAGAAAACGUAGAUAUAUAUGACUGAAUCCAUCACUUUCAUUAGUCGAAUAAGCAAGAGAACAACAUUAACAAGGGGAAACAGAGGGAAACCACACUCUUAUUUGACUAAACUAAUCAAAAUUCUCCUGAUCUUUUAAAACACAUCCAAACUGAUAUUAGUAUACGUAUAUUUAUUUUACCUUUAAUUUCUCAAUUAAUUCUGAAAUUUUUCUAUUUUCUAGGAUGAGUUUUCAUGGACAUUAAUUGUGGUUACAAGAAGAGGCAAUUAAUACAAAGAUUGAUCUGACAAAACUGCAACAAGUGGACUUUCUUUGGGUAAUCUUUAUAGCCUAGACAUCUUUGAAGACUUUUGGCACAGCGAGAAGGGAAAAUUCUUCUCUACUUUAGAGGUCUUGCUCAGCCAUUGACUUGUUAACUACUCCUUAAUUGCUUUUGUACGUGUGGGUUCCAUAAUUUUGACUCCAGAUAUGCUUGUAUGCUCAACUUCAUCAAUUUAUAAGGUUUGAAAACCUUUCCAAUUUCAAUCCACUUCGGUUUGUCUUUAAUUUUUUCACCAAAUUUCCACUAGGAUCCGAUUUGAAUUAAUUGAGUGGUUCUCACUGGAUCCAACUUAAAUCUGAUUCAAAUAAAUAAAUUUAUAUUUGAGGGAAGCUUGUGCUAAAUUUGUAUUUAAAUAUGUUUUCUUAUGGUUGGGGCAAGUGACUCAAGUGUGCUUGAUGGAUAAUUCAUCAUAUGGUCUCACAAAAUACUUAGCAUAACUGGAGUAGCUCAAAUAAGCUCAUACCUAAAAUAUAAUCUCGACCUCAAAUUGAAAAUAUAGUAAAAUAAGCAUAAAUAUAAAGAGCACGCAAUGUUUACCUGAUUUGGUCUUCGACUGAUGUCCAUAAGAGCAAUUCGUUGCUAAUCCAUUAUAUAAAUGAGAGAUUACAUGAAAUUUUAAGAUGAAUAACACAAGUUAUAUAGCUAGAUAUCUAUAUAGAGAUUGGUGUUCAUAAAGAUAAAGAUUGUGACUAAAAAUAUGAAGAGUGAUGAUAUGGUAGAGAAGAUAAUGGGGUGGAGAAUGAAAAAUGGCCUCCUAAAAAUGGAGAAGUUUGUGAUGAAGGUUAAAUUAUCUAACGAAGAUAAUUUUUUGAAAGGAAUCAACUUACAGGACAUCUACCCCCGCAAAUUAGCUUACUUAUUAGUUGAACUUAUGUACCUCUACAUAAAGUCUACGCAAUUUUAGUGUACGAUGUUGUGCAAAACUUAUGCUAUUCACGGCACGCUAAUCAUCAUCAUUUGCAUGAACAACACUUUUGCACUCACCAUGUGUAGUGGUGGUUCCCUACUUCCCACUUAUUUAGCACUUUUGCACUCACCAUGUCGAGCUUCAGAAAUUUCAAAGGAGAUAGCCCUUUAAGACCUUUUUUGCUUUUUGCUUUUUCUUCAAUUAUUUGAUUGUUUUUAUCAUUACAAGUUUGCCUGCCAACCCAUCUACCAAAAUCAAAUCACUCCCUUUCUUUUCCUCUUUUGAUAGCCAUAGCUAAUGUUGAGAAAGAAUGGUUAAGGUUUCUCUCGUUCCAACACCUGUAUCUUUGUGAAAUAUGCCUCCAAUAUCAAUUGUCUAAUGGUAAAUGAACUGUUUCUUAUCCAAGGUUUUUGUGAGUGUUAAAAUGAAAAUGGAUAAUGAUGAUGAUAACAUUACUCUUAAUUUCCUUUACUUUUUUCUAAUUAACAAAGAACACCUUGUUGAAUGGUUACCAAGUGUAAAUAAGAGAACGGUUAAUUUGACUCUCUCUCUCUCUCUCUCUCUCUAUAUAUAUAUAUAUAUAUGGAAGUUCGUAAUCUAAUAAAAUUAGACUUGUCAUAAGAUGCUAACUUUAUAAAUAAUGGACUAAACACUGCCCACUGCAUAACUAAUGUAAAUCUAAGCAGGCAGUGGCGAAGCUAGCACUAUUUUUUGGGGUGGGCUAGAUUUUUUUUUAAAUUCAAUUACUUCUCAAAAAAUUUAUUCUAUACAAAUGAAAUUAUUAAAAUAUACUAGACAAGUAAAAAAUUAAUAAUAAAAUUAUAAAAAUACAAUGUAAAUAAAAAAAAUACUAUCGACGAAAUUUCAUUCUGCGUUUCUUCAAAAAAGAAAACUCAUAUAUUAUCGUAUCUGAAUUAUAUUGUCUGCGAUAAUAAUACAUUAGAGAAUUAUUAAUUAUUUUAUCAAAAAAAAUUGACAAAAGUAUAAGCCAAUAACUAAUUCAAAAAUAGUAUGAGCAUGUGGGUACGACAGAGGCUGGUUGUCACUCAUGAGGUGGCAACUUGAUAACUUGAAUAUAUAAGUUUUAGGGAAUUUAGAAUUUAGAUAAUUUGAUCAAUUAGUCAGGGAUUUGAGUUAAUUUUUUGAUUUAAAAAAAUAGAUAUUUACUAUAAUUAUUAAUUAUAUUUUUAUAUUUUACUAUAAUUUUUUUUUAAUUUAUAAUUCAUUAAUAUUUUUUUUUCAAGAAACUAACCCGGGCUGCAGCCCGGGUUAGCCUCCUCAGAGCUUCACCCCUGUAAACAGGUUUAGGUUUUUUUAAAUCAUAUACUUGGGUGAGAUUCCAAAAGAACUUUGAAAAUUAAAUGAUCUAACGAAACUCAUUUUUUAGGGGGAAAGGAAUCAACUUACAGGACAUAUACCUCCAGAAAUUAGAUUACUUAUUAGUUGAACUUUCGUACCUCUGCAAAUGGAUUUAACGUCAACGCACUCAAUCCCAAAAAGUCCACACAAUAAUAAUGGAGGCUCCAUUAUUAGUUGAACACCGUGUGGACUCCAUCAGUUGCCCCGCAAAAGUUAAUGCAGUCCGCAAAUUAGACUGGGACCAUUAUUAGUUGUACUCUGAGGCAUUAUAAUUUUUCUAUUGCCAUUUAAAUUGGCUAGCUGCGAAUGAGAACUCGAAAAUGACAUACGUAAUUUUAUGAGCCACCAAUAAUAAUGGAGGCUCUUACGUUGAGUUUUAUUACAGUCUCUGAAUUCUAACUUUUUUUAUUUAAAUCCUGUACGCUGGUGGCGUAUGUGUUAUACAGUCUGAGUAUAUCUAUUGGGAGUCUGAUUCAUACAUAUGAAACUUUUAGUGACAGAAUAAAUUCAAAUUAGACUGGGACCACACCGUUUUAUCAUGGGACCACACUCUUAUAAGGUAAAAUCAAUAAUUUUUAUAUCAAGAAGUGGGCCAACGCUACAAUACCCGCAUGUAUCACAUACAUGCGGAUAAUAAAAAUAUAUAUAUAUAUGGCCAUUGUUUGGCUGCCACUUGGCAGCCAAACAAAAGAAAAACUUGGAGCAACCGGUUGCUCCUUAAAUUAAUAUUAAAUUAUAAAAUAAUAUUAUAAAUAAAUAUAAUAAAUAAAAUAAUAAUUAUUUUAAUAAUAAAGGCAACAUAAUAAUAAAAAAUUAGUUUUAUAAUAAUUAAAAAUUAGUUUCAAAUUUAAUGGUAGUUAUUUCAUAUUUAUUGGUCCAUUAAUCGGGGUUGCAAGUUAAUGCACCUAAGUUUCAUGUUCAUUGCUUUCAGUUUCAAGUUCAUUGCCCUCAGUUUCAAGUUAAUUUGAUUUCAAAUUUAAUGGUCCGAGUUUCAAGUUAAUGGUAGGUGUUUCAUGUUUAUUGGUCCAUUAAUUGUAUGAUUUUUGGGAUAGCAAGUUAUUGAUCUCAAGUUUCAUGUUCAUUGCUCUAAGUUUCAAGUUUCUUUGGUUUCAAAUUUAAUGGUCUUAAUUUCAAGUUAAUGGUAGGUGUUUCAUGUUUAUUGGUCCAUUAAUUGCAUGAUUUUCGGGGUUGCAAGUUAAUGAUCCCAAGUUUCAUGUUCACUGCUCUAAGUUUUAAGUUCCUUUAAUUUCUAGUUUAAUAAUCUCAGUUUCAAGUUAAUGGUAGGUGUUUUGUGUUUAUUGAUCCAUUAAUCGGGGGUUACAAGUUAAUGAUCUUAAGUUUCAUGCUCAUUGCCCCCAGUUUCAAAUUCAUUGCCCUCAGUUUCAAGUUCAUUUGGUUUAUAGUUUAUUGAUCCUAGUUUCAAGUUAAUAGUAGGUGUUUCAUGUUUAUUGGUUGCAAGUUAAUGAUCCUAAGUUUUAUAUUCAUUAUCCUCAGUUUCAAGUUCAUUACCCUCAGUUUUAAGUUUAUUUGGUUUCAAGUUUAAUGGUCUCAGUUUCAAGUUAAUGGUAGGUGUUUCAUGUUUAUUAGUCCAUUAAUUGGAGUUGCGAGUUAAUGAUCAUAAGUUUCAUGUUCAUUACCUUCAGUUUCAAGUUAAUUUGGUUUCAAAUUUAAUGGUCUUAGUUUCAAGUUAAUGGUAGGUGUUUCAUGUUUAUUGGUUCAUUAAUCGAGGUUGCAAGUUAAUGAUCCUAAGUUUUAUGUUCAUUGCCCUCAGUUUCAAAUUCAAUUGGUUUCAAGUUUAAUGAUCUCAGUUUCAAAUUAAUGGUAAGUGUUUCAUGUUUAUUGGUCCAUUAAUUGCAUGAUUUUCGGGGUUGCAAAUUAAUGAUCCAAAGUUCCAUGUUCAUUGCCCUCAGUUUCAAGUUCAUUUAGUUUUAAGUUUAAUGGUUCCAGUUUCAAGUUAAUGGUAGGUGUUUCAUGUUUAUUGUUCCAUUAAUUGCAUGAUUUUCAGAGUUGCAAGUUAAUGAUCCAAAGUUCCAUGUUCAUUGCUUCAAGUUUCAAGUUCCUUUGGUUUCAAGUUUAAUGAUCUCAGUUUCAAGUUAAUGGUAGGUGUUUCAUGUGUAGUGGUCCAUUAAUCAGGGUCGCAAGUUAAUGAUCCUCAGUUUCAAGUUCCUUGCCCUCGGUUUCAAGUUCAUUGCUCUCAGUUUCAAGUUCAUUUGGUUUUAAGUUUAAUUAUUCAGUUUCAAGUUAAUGAUAGGUGUUUCAUGUUAACCAGUUUUUCAAGUUUCCAUUUCUUUCAUAUUUAAUAAUAAUAAUAAAUCUCAGCCAUUCGAUCUACUCCAAUUUAAUGCAAUGGCUAUUUUUUAUGCAUGUAUGUAGCCGCACCCCAAGAAGUGACAUUAAAUUUGUUUCCCAACUUUUUAGAUGUACUAUUUAUUGAAGGAGAACUUUACGCGAAGUGAUUUAAUUUGUAUAAAAAUGAGCUAACUUACUGCUUUUUUUUUUUGCUAUAAUUUGCCUGCACUAAUGAAAAGUUUCAAUUAGAUAUACAAGUUCCAAUAUAGUAUGCUAGUGACUAAAAAAUAAAUAAAUAAAUAAAACAUCAUCUUACUGUUUAUUUCAUGGAAACCAAGUGUUUAGAGUAACUUGAUUUACAAGAACCCGGUUCGCGGGUCCAUGUUUUGUCUAGGAAGCCUCAGUAGCCUUGCGUUAUCACAUCACAAGUAAUAGAAGCAUAAAAAAUAGCUUUUGUUUUGAUAUAAUAAAGAUUUGUACUUCUAAAUUCAGCAUUUGAGUUCGUUACGAUGAAGUUUCAGAGUUUCUUAAUGAACUAACAUAACAUCCUUUAUUAGCCGGAGUCAAGAAUAAAAGGUGCUAAUGGGCAGGCGUGUCAAAGCAGAGUGAUUCGCGACAAUCACAAAUGUGAUCUUAACUAGCUCUCUGUGAAAAGCUCGUCUUUGUAAUCUUUUUAAUACUCUCUAUGAUAACAUUGGAAAAAUCUUCCCAACUUGAUGCAUUGACUUGUUGACCCCUCAAUUGCUCUUGUCUGUGGCUUCUAUAAAUUUGGCGUCCAACAUGCUCGUUUUCUGCACCGUUGUAUGUUUUCCAAAAGCUAAGAGUCAUCAAAAGAUCUUUUGAAUUUCAAUAAAACUUCGGUUUAACUUUAUUUAUUUGAUUGUGUUUUUGGAAUAUCAAUGGGGUCACCAACCCUCAAUACAGUUGUUCCUUCACUUGUUUUGUUGAUCCUAUUUUUUGUGUUAAGUUUCUUAAUAACUGUUUCUUCAGCAUCUAAUGAAGAAGCAGAUGCUCUUCUCAAAUGGAAAGCCAGCCUUCAAAUCCAUAACCGAUCUCUCCUUUCUUCUUGGAUUAAGGACACCACCAAUGUUUCAUCCAAAACAAGCCCGUGUGCUUGGUAUGGAAUCAGUUGCAAUGACGCCGGAAGAGUCGUCAACAUUACCCUCCCAGCUAAAGGAUUAAAAGGUAGGCUUCAUGAUUUCUCAUUCUCAUCGUUUCCUCAUCUUGCUUAUCUUGAUCUCAGCUAUAAUAAACUCUUCGGUACUAUCCCGCCUCAAAUUAGUAACCUUACGAAUCUCAUCUACCUUUAUUUCGGAGGCGAUCAAUUUUCAGGAAAUAUUCCACCAGAAGUUGGUCUUAUGAGUCAUUUGAAGUUCCUUUACAUUGAUACGAACCAAUUAGAUGGCUCAAUUCCACCAGAACUAGGUCAGUUAAGUUCUAUGGUGGAGCUUUCCUUGUUCUCUAACCACUUGAACGGUUCAGUCCCUCCUUCUUUAAGUAAUUUGACCAACCUACAACAACUAUACCUCUUUAAUAACAGCCUAUCCGGUUCCAUUCCUCCCUCCCUUGGGAAUUCAAUGUUAACCAUGGUAAAUUUGGAUUUCAAUCAUUUUACAAGUUAUUUACCGCACAAUGUUUGUCGAGGUGGAGCAUUACAGUAUUUUACUGUUUCUGAAAACCAUUUUCAAGGAACAAUCCCUAAAAGCUUGAGAAAUUGCACAAGCUUAUUCCGAGUACGCCUUAAUGGAAACAACCUUACUGGAAAUAUAUCAGAAGCUUUGGGCAUUUAUCCUAACCUGACUUUCAUAGAUCUCAGCCGCAAUAAUUUUUACGGUGAAAUCUCAUCUAAUUGGGGGAAAUGCCCAAAAUUAGGCACUCUCAACGUUUCGAUGAAUAACAUUACUGGAGGUAUACCGCGUGAGAUUGGAAACUCGUCUCAACUACAUGCACUCGAUCUUUCAUUGAAUCAUAUAGUUGGGGAGAUUCCAAAGGAACUUGGGAAGUUAAAUUCUCUAACCAAGCUCAUUUUGCGCGGGAAUCAACUUACAGGACGUCUACCUACAGAAAUCGGCUCACUCAUUGAACUUGAAUACCUCGACUUUUCUGCAAAUAGAUUCAACAAUUCAGUCCCAAAAAGUCUCGGUAACUUGCUGAAAUUGCACUACUUGGGCUUGAGCAACAACCAGUUUGUCCAAGAAUUGCCAAAGGAAUUGGAGAAGCUAGUUCAACUUUCAGAAUUAGAUUUGAGUCACAACUUUCUUGGAGGAGAAUUACUAUCUCAGAUCUGCAAUAUGGAAAGCUUGGAGAAGUUGAAUCUCUCGCACAAUAAUCUCUCUGGUUCGAUUCCAAAUUGCUUUGAGGGAAUGCACGGUCUAUCAGUCAUUGACAUUUCUGAUAAUCAACUGCAAGGCCCAGUUCCAAAUAGCACAGCAUUUCGGAAUGCCCCAGUGGAAGCGUUAGAGGGGAAUAAGGAAUUGUGUGGAGGUGUGAAAGGAAUGCAACCGUGCAAAGUUUUCUCGUCACACAAGCAAAAUUCCGGAGCCAAGUGGUUUGCAAUAGUGUUCCCCGUGUUAGGAGCACUAUUUGUUUCAAUGGCGCUGAUAGCAAUUUUCAUUCUUCGAAAGCGGAAGUCAGACUCAGGAGAUCGACAGAGCAGCAGCCAGAACCCUCAGGAAUUGUUUUCUAUAUUAAAUUUCGACGGGAAACUUGUGUACGAUGAAAUUGUUAGAGCAACAAAUGAUUUUGAUGCAGAGUAUUGCAUUGGAAAUGGUGGACACGGAAGUGUUUAUAGAGCUGAGCUACCAUCUGGGGAGGUAGUAGCUGUCAAGAAAUUUCACUCAUCACUCCCAUGUGAUCAGAUUGCAGAUCAAAAAGAAUUCUCGACCGAAGUUAAGGCCUUGACAGAGAUACGACAUCGAAACAUUGUGAAACUUUAUGGAUUUUGCUCACAUGCCCGACACUCUUUUUUGGUCUAUGAAUUUCUUGAAAGGGGUAGCUUGGCUGCGAUCUUGAGCAAUGAUGCAGCAGCACAAGAACUGGGUUGGAGUCAGAGAAUGAAUGUGAUCAAAGGCGUAGCUGAUGCCUUGUCUUACCUGCACCAUGACUGCUUUCCUCCGAUUGUCCAUCGAGACAUAUCAAGUAAGAACUUGUUGCUGGAUUUGGAAUAUGAAGCUCAUGUUGCAGACUUUGGAAUUGCUAAGUUUCAGAAGCCAGACUCGUCCAACUGGACUGAAUUUGCAGGCACAUACGGAUACAUUGCACCAGGUAUCUAGCAUUCGUUUGUUACCAUUUUGAGGAAUAUUUUUGUGUUAUGUGUGCGGUAACAGAACAAUGCAACUAGAUAUUGUUUUAAAAAUUAUGUAUUACAUUCAUUAGACUUGUAAAAUCUCACUAGUUUAUGCACAUUUAUCUCAGAAACAGAGUAAACAUUUUUUUUUUGGUCCUUGACCUUGCAGAGCUUGCUUAUACAAUGAAGAUCACAGAGAAAUGCGAUGUGUACAGUUUUGGAGUGUUAGUGUUGGAAGUGAUCAAAGGGAAGCAUCCAAGAGAUUUUCUUUCUUCGACUUCAUCUCCAUCUCUCAACACAGAUAUAGCACUUAAUGAAAUGUUGGACCCGCGUCUUCCAGUUCCAUCAUGCAGUGUUCAAGAAAAACUGAUAUCAAUCAUGGAGGUUGCGUUUUCAUGCUUAAAUGAGAGUCCGAAGUCUAGACCAACUAUGAAGAUAGUCAGUCGACAAUUGCAGAUUUCAGCUGCCUUGACUGAGUCUUAAUUUUCUAAGUAUGCUUCUAAUUUGCUUGGUUUAUUUCUCUCAUGUACUGUAGUUUGUUUGUUCUAGUUUUCAAGAAUCAGGAGGCGUUGGUUAUUACGUCAUCCAUAUAUACUUGGUAUAUGGUGUACUCUUUUCAUUUUUAAAUAAAAUAAAGUUUGCUCAUACCUUAGAGGUUUAGUUAAAAGAACGCAUGGAGCAGUGGUGAGCACAUUUGAGGACAUGUAGAGUCUGUACAAUGAAGACCAAGAUUAGUAAGACAGUUUGUAAUAAUAAAAAAUAAAUGCACGUACGAGAAUCUAUGUUAAUUUUUAUUACAGUCUCUGAGUUCUUACCAUUUUUUUUUUUAAAUUCCUGCCUAGUGGCGUAUGUAUUAUACAAUCUGGGUACCGUAUAUCUAUUGGGAGUCUGAUUCAUACAUAUGAAACAUUUAGUGACAGAAUAAAUUCAAAUUAAUCCGGGACCACACCAUUUUAUCCUGAGGCCACAAUCUUACAAGGUAAAAUCAAUGAUUUUUAUAUCAAGAAGUGACAUAAAAUUUGUUUCCCAACUUUUUACAUAUAUUAUUUAUUGCAGGAGAACUUUACGUGAAGUGAUUUAAUUUGUAUAAAAAUGAGCUAACUUACUGCUUUUUUUUUUUUGCUAUAAUUUAUAAGUAAUGACGUCUGCACUAAUGAAAAGUUUCAAUUAGAUAUACAAGUUCCAAUGUAGUAUGCUAGUGAUUAAAAAUAAAUAAAUAAAUAAAUAAAACAUUAUCCUACUGUUUAUUUGUUGGAAACCAAAUGUUUAAAGUAACUUGAUUUACAAGAACCCGGUUCGCGAGUCCACAUUUUGUCUUGGAAGCCUCAGUAGUCUUGCGUUAUCACAUCACAAUUAAUAGAAUCAUCAAAAAUAGCCUUUAUUUUGAUAUAAUAAAGAUUUGUACUUCGAAAUUCAGCAUUUGAGUUCGUUAGGAUGAAGUUUCUAAGUUUCUUAAUGAACUAAAAUAAUAUCCUUUGUAUUUUCUCAUCAAUAAUAAUAAUAAUAAUAACAUCCUUUAUUAGCCGAGUCAAGUUUAAAAGGUGCUGAUGGGCAAGCAUGUCAAAGCAGGGUGAUUCGCAAUUAUCACAAAUGUGAUCUUAACUAGCUUUGUGUAAAAAGCUCAUCUUGGUAAUCUUUUUAAUACUCACUAUAUAUAAAUAUACUCUCUCCUGAGAUCAACUGAUUAAAUUUGUCUUUCACCUUGCAGAGCUUACUUAGACAUACGAUUGGAUAUUUGUAUUUUAUUUUUUCAGGGCAAUUACCGCGACAUUAUUAACAUUAGACAUGAUUAAUAUGGUGUGUUUAUUGUUACACGAUGUACUCUUUCAUUUAUAAAUAAAGUUUGCUCAUUCCUUAGAGGUUCAGUGUUAGAGUGCAAUUUAUGCACUAGUUUUGCAUUGUUUACUUCCCUUAAUAUCAAUGUUUUGCAUUUAAUAAUCGUGAUUUACUUGUGUUUUACUUUUGUAGGUGCAAUUCUAUUGAUUGGUGAUAAAAUUGAGCUACAAGAUGAUGUUUAAGGAUGAUUGUUCUCUUGGAAAAAUUAUGAGCGUCAGAAGAACUUUGUUAAUAAGGCGUGAGCGCAUGCUGUCAACUACGGACCUGCAGUUUUUAGUUUAACGUAUUUUGUAUUUUUGGUUAUUUUUUUAAUUAUGAAUUUAAUAUUUCAGAUAUUAGUAUUUUAUUUUAAAUAGAACUCUAGAGCAGAAGAGAGAGUAUUUAAGGGAGAAAUCUAUUAUGAAAAAUGGGACUUUUGGGGGAGAAAAGGAAGAAACCCUAGAUCUAAAUUUUUCUCUUCUCUCUAUGAAGAACUAAAUCUAUUAUUCUGAUUGAAGGUUAAUGAAGCUUUGAUUCAUCACUACUAUGAGAUCUUUCUUAUGCUUUAAUUGUUUUAUUGCUUUUUGGGUAUUUGUUUAUUCUCUGAAUUAUUUUCAUGAUUAUGUUUGUUAAUUAGAUAACUGGCCACUAUUUAAUUAUCAACUUAAUCUAUUGUCAAUUAAAGGAUUUAUCGUAUGAAUAUUUUAAUGUUUGUGACAAAUAACAUAGCAGUGAGUUGUGUUAUGAGAAUAAACAAUCUAAUUUAAAUGAACCAUCGUAUGCGUUUGUUGAUUAGGAUUUGGGUCUCUCUGGUUCUUCAGGCUGUCAAUUGAUUAAAUCCUAUGAUCGUAUCUAGGGUUGUCUAUUGAUUAGGGAAAUAACCAACGGUCGUACCUUGGUUAUCGACUAGUUAAGGAGAGAUUGGCUAUUAGAGGGUCUCAGUAGCUAUAACCGGUCUAUUCAUAAGUAGUAAUAAUUUAUAUUUGAAUCAAUGAUCAGUAGUCGAAUUAAGCUAAGUUAAUUCCUUCAACCAGAGUUUUCUCCAAUUUGAAUUACAACUUUAAUUUGCAUUCUUGUUAUUUUAAUUUGAUUUUUAUUAUCGUCAACGAAACCCCCAUUUUAUGUUUUAUGUUUUAAAAGGAUUUAAAUAAUUACCGAUCUCUGUGGGCACGACCCUGCUCAAUCACUAUACACAAUUUAUUUAGAGUAUGUAUUUAUUUUUGUUGGCUUCGACAACCAUCAUUCAGUUAAAAGAACGUAUGGGGCAGCGGUGAGCACAUUUGAGGACAUGUGGAGUCUGUACAAUGAAGACCAAGAUUAGUAAGACAGUUUGAAACAAUUGAAAAAAUAAUUUGUUGCGAACCCCUCAAAUGUAAGCUUGAAAGUGUGUACCACUGUAUUAAUUGGUGGGUGGCUCUUACUUAUUGAUAAUGUUAAAUUAAAUGUUAAAAGAAAGGAAGAUAGGAGAAAAAAUUUAAAAAUUGACGAUAAUUUACAAUGCAGUCCUUGUGAUUUAACCAAAAAUCAAAUAAACCAAUAAUAAUUAGUAUUUUUUUGGGAAUGAUUUGUCUUAGGUUUGAGUAAACGGUUUGAAGGAACUUAUAGCUCUCACCAAUUGUCUUGAAUGCUCUAAUGGCUUACACUUUGUAGAAUCGCCAAUGUUGUGAUAAUAACUUUGAUGGUUAAAAUUUGAUUGUGAAUUUCGGUUGAAUGAUUUAAUUUACGUUUGGUUUUUAUACCGACCUCUACCAAGUUAAUCUUUUUUCCGGAUGUUUAAUUUUGUUAUGUCAAAGUUAAUUGGUUGAUGUCCUAUAUUUGAUCAAUGUGGAUGGCUGAUCAAAAAUAAAGAAUCCUUGAACGAAUUGCGGCCUUGACAGAGAUACGACAUCAGGGCAUUGUAAAACAUGACUGACAUUCUACUUGAGUUUAUGAAUUUCUUCGAAGGGGUAGCUUGGCCAUAAUCUUGAGCAACAAUGCAGCCACAUAAGAGUUAAGUGGGCUGGAGUCAGAGAAUGAAUAGGAUAAAAGGCGUUGCCCAUAAGGUGUAAUAUUCGUUUGUUGCCAUUUUGAGGAAUAUUAAUUUGUACGCAUUUAUCUUGCAGAGCUUGUUUAUUUGUCCUUGACUUGUAGAGCUUGCUUACACAAUCAAGAUCACAGAAAAAUACGACGUGUACAGUUUCGGAGUGUUAGUAUUGGAAGUGAAAAAGGGAAAGCAUCCAAGAGAUCAGAUGUUCUUUCUGCAGUUUCAGCUUCAUCUUCCAAUCCCACUUGAUGAAAUGUUGGAUCCUCGGCUUCCACCCGAUCCAUUGUUCGAUGUUCAGGCGAAGUUAGUAAUCAAUCAUGAAGGUUGCCUUUUCUUGCUUAAAUGGGAAUCCAGAAUCCAGACUGAUCAUUACUGUUUGAGUUUUAAAUAUUUGCCUUCCUUUCUCAUUGUUGCACAAGUUGAUUAUAAAUAUCAUGCUUAUGCAAGCCUUAUUUCGGAACAAAAGAAUAUUAGUUGACAGAAUUAUGCAACUAGGGAAUGAUGUAAUCCAUAAUUAAUUAGUCCGUCUUCAACACAAAAUAGAAAAAUUUAGUUGACAGAUGGCCUCAAAAGACUAGCUUCGUUUUUGCUAGAAAAGAAAUAAAAUCUGCUUCUAUGGCCUCUGUAAACCAACUCCUUCAAUGCCUCCAAUUUCAAAACUAUCAUUGAUAUAGAGCCAUUGAACCUGGGCUUCAUAUUCAACUUUUCAGAGUUCCAUUUCUAGGCUGAAGUUUUUGAGAGCUUGGACGGACUUGACACUACAUGACCCUCGCGAGAUAUGUCCCAAAAUCCCCUGAGCCAUAAUUUUGCUACAAAACCCGACAGAAUUAAUGAUCCUUAUUAAUUAUGAAUUACAUCGUCCUUUGGUUGCAUAAUUUUGGAUAAAAAAUUUGGAUUAGUUUUGGUGAUCGGCUGAGCUUGUGUCCAGCAUGAAUUUCACGUGGAUUCCAAUCAACUCUUGACCAUAGAUUCUGUGCCCCCCAACACAAUAUGCUUAUGGUUUAAAAAUAAAAUAAAUCAUGUUAAUGCUUUGUAUCAAUACUUGAUGCUUCAACAAUCGUUUUCUGCGUGCACGGACUUGUCGAUAAAGAAAGUUUAAUGUUCCAUGUAUUAGUUAUUUGUUUACAUCUGCUUAAUCUGAUUGGAGUGAAACGAAAUUAACAGUUUCUUUGUUUGAAAAAAUAAAUAACUAUAAUUUCUUGAAUAUUCGAUGAAUUAACAAAAGAAUUGUGAAUGAAGUUUUGUUUGGUAUUAAGGUAUUGUUAUCUUUAAAUCACAAUUAUUGUGAAAAAUAAAGGUAUAAUAAAAAAGUAAAAGUUGAUAAUUUUUAAUAAAUAUAACUUUUAAAUGAUAAUUUUAACAAAAAUAAUAAAGAUACGAUAAGUUUUCUAUCAUUAAAAUAAAAUCAUUUCAGCUUUCAAGUCAUAGUGAUGAUAGAGUUACAAACUCUUAUAUACAUUUAUUUUGUAUAAAUUGAUGUAGCAUAAAUUAUUUGUUAGAUAAAAAUAUAAAAUAAUAAAAUAAAUUAUGUGAAACAAAAGAUAUUUAGUUUAAUUAAUUUUAUUAUGUCAUGUUAAAUUGUAUAAAAUAAAUUUAUAUAAAAAUUUGUAGUUAGGUUAUUGAUCUGCACCGAUAUACAGAGUCUUCUAUUUAUGUUAGCGUAAACCAGCACCGAUACAUACAGUAUUCUAUUUGCUUGAGUGUAGGGGUGUUCGCGGAUCGGAUUUUACAGAUUGGACAUCAAUCCAUAUCCGAUCCAUGAUUUUGCGGAUUAUAAUUUUUCAAUCCAAUCCAAUCCAAUCCACGGAUUGAUAAAAUUCAAUUCAAAUCCAAUCCAUACAUCUGUGGAUCGGAUGCGGAUUUGACUAAGUCCAUAUCAAAUCCAUACGUCUGCGGAUCGGAUGCAGAUUUGACUCAAUCCAUUUCCAAUCCACCAUUUUGCGCAUUAGUUUUCGAAUUAAAAAUUUUUAGUUCUCUCUAACUAAUGAAAUUAAAAAAAAUCUAAUAUAAAAAUAAUUUUGCUACCAAUUAAAUUUAAAUUGAAUAAAAUUUAAAUAAAUUAAUUGUUUAAAUAAAGCUAAAAUCAUAUAUUUAAAGUUUCAAAAUAUAACACAUCGAGACUAAUUAUUCAAAUAAAGCUACAAUAAUACGUUCAAAGUUUCAAAAUAUAACACACCAAGCUUAAUUGUUCAAAUAAAGUUACAAUAAUACGUUAAUAUAACACUGAAAUUAAUUGUUGAAAUAAAGCCACAAUUAAUUGAAAUGACAAAGUUUCGGAAACCAAACACAGUCUGAUCCUUCACCAGGGCUGUUGCGCUUGUCGAAAAGUGGUGAUUACGGAGCCGUCCACGAUGGGAACCAGGAAAAGCUGUACGGGUGGCGAUCUUGAAAGUUGUGAUAGUAACAUUGUUCAGCUGGAACCAGUGAAUGUGCAGUGGCUCGAUAGACUUGGGAAAGAAGAUGGCUUGCUCUCGUCGUAAUCUCGCGGCUGAUGUCCUUCAAAUCCGUGUCGAGAGUGUAUCCAACCAGUAUUGAAUGUUGCUAGUGUAUGUGACGGCAGGGAAGCUUAGGGUUUUUUAUUUGUAAAUUGUUUGUGACUUGGCGUCAUGUUACUUUGUUUUUGGGUGACUUUGCAAAUUGUUGGUGACUUGGCGUUAUGUUACUUUGCUUUUUUUAGUGUGUGUGACUUUGCUUUUAUUUUGUUUUACAAUUUUUACAAGUUAUAUUUAUAUUUGAUUAUUUAAUUAUUUUUCAUUUUAUAUUAUUAUUGGGUAAUGGUGAAGAUAUGUUAUAGUGCUUAUGUAACUAUAUAAUACCACAUUUAUAAUUUUUUUAAUUAAAUUUAUAAUAAUUUUUUAAUUAUAUAUAUAUAUAUAUAUAUAUAUAUAUUUUUUUUUUUUUUUUUUUUUUUGCGGAUUCACAGAUUUCUGCGGAUUUAUAGAAGUAAAUCCAUAUCUAAUCCAUCGACUGCGAAUUUUUAAAUUUUUAAUUUAUAUCUAAUUCACUAAUCCACAAAUUAAAUUUAGCGAAUCGGACAGAUUGAGCGGAUCGAAUUAGAUUCUGAACACCCUUACUUAACUCUAUCCAAUUUUUUCGUCCAAUAUGAUUACUCUUAAAAUAAAAACCAUGGACCCCAUGAACGAGACGUCACGUGGGCCCACUAAUCUUGAUGAUAAUAUCUUUUUCAUGUACAAAAGAACACCCCCGCUGUACAGCGACACCGCUUUCUUUGUCUUUCCUUUCGUUUUCGUCAGCCUCCACCAACCCUUAAAUAGGCACCCCAUUUUCUUUCACUCCUAUCCAUUGCCCACGCGUCCCAUCAUGAUUGCUUCUCCGGUUCUAAUCACGAAGAUUUCGUGAAAUGGACUUACGAGAUGGGCCCCAUCUCUGCGCAGACUACACCGUCUAUUCUCUUUAUGAAAAGAAAAUAAAACUAUUUAAAAUCUCUAAAUCACUCUAUCUUCUCGUGAUAAAUUGAAUUCAACUCGUUUUUCAUCUUUUAUUUAUAAAUUGUAAAUAAAAAAAAUCAAAAGAAUUCAACUGAUAUUCCUUUUGAGAAAUUAUAAAAAAAAAAAAAUUAUACGGUAGCCAACUUCCUUGCAUGAACAUGACCUUGAUUCAAUUUAUUGAACAUACGUAUAUGUUACUUUAAUAUACUUUUUUCUUAUAGUUUACAAAAUAUAGUGGUUAUUUUCUUUCGUAUACCAAACAAUAGAUGUGUAUGUAGGUUGAAGCAAAUAUAAUUUUAUAAACUAACACUAUGUUGUACCGUAUUUGGUAAAAUAUUUAAUGUUGACAUCUUAUGACAUUAUUAUUAUUAAAUCUUCAAUAAAGAUUCUUCAUUGUAUUGAACAAUUUUCUAUAUAAUAUAAACUAUGUAUUUCGUUAUAAUGAAAGCUGUCAAGAAAGGUCGUCUCAACUUUUAUAUUAAGAAUUUGUAUUCAUAAAUAUAUAAUAUGAUAUAAACCUUAAACAUUAAAAUUGUUUCAUAACUUAGUUAUCAAUAAAAGAUUUAACAAUUUUUUAAUUAUUGAUCGUAAAUAUUAGCACAUUAUAAUACAAUAUAAAAAUAACCUUACAGUUAAUUUAUUAUUGUCACAUUAUAAAUCUAUAGAAUUAAUUUGAAUUAGUAAAAUUAUUAAGACAAAGUUAGAAAGAUAUAUCAACAUUGGCUGGGUCCAGCUAGUUUGCAACUGUGAUUUGGUACCUCAUUUUUUGUCUGUUUGUGAUCCAACCAUUAGAUUCAACCCAAGAAUUGCAAAAACUAUUCCAACAGUAAGGAUGCAAUUACUUGGUUAUUAACGCUGCAGCCCCUCCUAUUUCAUAAAAAAAUAAGAAAAUAUUAAAUUUCAAGAUUUUGACACAUAAGUCAAUCAAAAUAUUUUAUGAUCUUUAUAUAGGUCAAGGGUAAUUUAAUAAAUAAAUAUAUUUAGAUAUACAAAAAUAUGGAUGGAUUAUUUUAACUUUCUAAAAUACUCCCCACACCCAUUUAUUUAAAAUAUCAAUUACAAAAAAUCCCAUUUUUAGUAUUUUAAAAAUAAAAUAAAAUACCCAUUUAAUGUUUUACCAUUUAAGAUAGUGUUACUUAUAAGGAUAAAUAAUUAUUUUAAUUAAAUAAAUGAAACUUAACUUUUAUUUCUAUAAAUUUGCUCAACAUCAAAUAACCUUAUAAUUGUUGGCAUAAGAUAUAAAUUUAGUCUAAAAAUUAUAUUCAAAGGGCCCCUUGGGGGAAAAAAUUAAUUAUCAUAUGAUAAUUUGGUUGGUACAAACUGUAUUAUUCUUAAUUUACUUAUUAAUUUCAAACACUAAAUUUGAAUUAAAUUUUAGUAAAAUAAACCUAUGUCAUCAUCUUUAACCACAUUCAACAGACCCUAAUUGUUUAUAUUCUGUUAUAAAGAGCAAGAUAUAGUUCUUCUCUUAUUACGGUAGUAAAAAAAAUAAAAAUAAACACAAUAGAUUUCUUUUAAGAGAAUGCAAGCAUUAUUUUUAUGAGAUUUUGUGUUCAAGAAAUUAAUCUAAUUAUGUGGUUAGAAGACUCUAUUUUUUGAUAUUUUAGAAGAAUUAUUUGUUGGAUAAAUGAAUAAAUUAAGGUCAAAGCAGAACAAAAUGAUUGAGAAGAAAACCGAGAGAGAAUUUUUUUAGAAUUUUAAAAUUUUCAUAUUUUAAUUGGGGUUUAUUAUGCAAAUUUAUUGAAAUUUAUAGUUUUUGAUAUUACAGAAAACAGUAGAGAUUGUUGAAGAAAAUGCCAAAUAAAUUUUUUAGAAUUCUAAAAUUAUUAUAUUUUAAUUAGGACUUAUUGUCUAAAAUUUUUAAAAUUUAUAGUUUUUAUUAUUUGCCAAAAACAAUGGGGAUUGUUAAAGAAAAUGUUAAAAUUGGGUGUUUGGUAUAACGGAGGCAAGAUAGUUCUAUCCAAAUUGGCUAGAACUGCCUAUUAAAGUAACAUAUACGUAUUUUAUAUGGAUACAUUAUGUAGCAAAAAAAAUGAAGAUUUUUGUAACAAACUUGGCAAAUAUCUAAAUUGCUGUGUUGAUACUAAAUAAUUAAUCACUUUAAGAAUUCAUUUACUUUUAGUGUAAAUCAAAAGGAAGACGAUAGAUUCACGAAACUUCUACCUCAAAAAAGCAAACGAUCCAAAUUGAAUAAAUAGUCAACCAAUUAAUCAAACGAGGUCCUCUGAAUAUAAUAAGAACUUGACCUUUUGCUUUAUCUCAGCAACAAGUUGAGUGUUGUGUGACUUAAGAUUAAAAUAUUAAUCAAACUACAAAAUUAUAUCAUUUAAGAAAUUAUAUUUAGGUAUUUACUUAAUUAAAGUUUUAGUUAGCCACCGAGUGACUCUUAUGUGAGAAUGUUAAUUCCUUGAGCAUGUGACAUUUUCUUUAAAGAUUUUUGAAUUGUUUGAUGGUUGUGAGAGUAAAAUUUAAAAUAAUAAAAAUAGAUAUAAUUAUCAUGUUAAUGGGACCACACUUUAGUCAUUAAUUCAUAUAAGAAUAUGAAUUCAAAUAUCAUGUAAAUGAAAUUUGAAAAAAAAAAUAGAUUUGUUAACAUCACAGGUAGAAGUUGACUUUAAAUUUCUAAUGAAUCUGUCAUAAUAUUCUUUUUUUCCUGAAUAAUCAUGUUAAUGUUUAAGUUAUUAGAUAAGGAUCCAACAUUAACAUUUGAAGUUUAUGCUUUAAUAAAAUUGUGUAAAUUUGAUAACAAAAACAUUAAAUUCAAAUAAAAGUAAAAUUUACAUGUUGUUCAGCUAGUCUUAGAAUGAUAGAGUACUGAUAUAGAGUUACGAUGUUUAAUACUUAUUACGACCAAAAUAAAAUUUUUAUAUUUGCCUUGUCUUUCAGAUUUGUAAUCAAAUGGCCGAUGUUUUAACUAAAUUUGUAUUCUGUUGCUUUGAUUUUUAUGUUUGGCUAGAUCCCAGGCAAUUACUUUGUUAUUUUUGAUUGGUUAUUCGGAAAUAAAUGAAGUCUAUUAUUCAGAAAAAUAAUUACCUGCAAAAAUCGUACUCCAUUUUCAACUAUUCGUAUCCAAAAUCUUACAAAAAGGUAAUAAUAUUCCAAACUAAUUAAAAAACGACACGUAAUCAGACAAGUCCACACGAAACCUACCCAAAAGCGCCAAAAAAAAAAGGAAAAAGAAACUCGUUCAUUCAAUUUAUCGGGAUACGAUAAAUUCUUAACAAAAUGUCAUAUCAAUUUCACCAUCAAAACUACGGUAUUGUUUUAUAUAUAGUAAAGAAUUUUUUUUAAAAGCAAAUAAAAACAAAAAAAAUAUAUAUAUAAAGGACUCGUGCGUGCCUUUCAUUUCCCUCCUGUUUUUGUCACCCGCCUCUUCCUCAUCUCGCCACCUGUUUCCCCCACUACGCACACAAAAACGUCACCGUUUCAUUCUCACUCCUUCCUCACACCCCUCUCCUUUUCCCCACGUUCCUUCGUUUCAUAUCAUCUCAAAAAUUCAUUCUUUUAACAUUAAUAAUAAUAAUUUUAUUGAAAUAAAUCAAUCAAAAAGGUAACUCCAAAUAUCUCCUCCAGCUUUUUGCUGCUUCUUAAUUUUGAUCGACUAUGACGAUGUACUAAACUAAAGCUUCAAUUUUUUUCAGUUUUUUCAGUCAACGCUUUUGCUUCAAGAUUUCGUUUUACCUUCCUUGAAAAUUAAAGCUCACCUAAUUGAUACAAUUAAAACUCUUUUUUUAGCUGAAAAUUGAUACAAUUUUUACUACUUUUUUCUUAACUUUGUAUCCAGAUUUGCUGCUUUUGUUUACAGUUUUUUAUUUUUUUAAUAUUUUUCUGUGGAGCUAAGCAUGACUUUGGUUACAGCUUUAUAUUAUUUUAACAUAUAAUUAGACUAAUUUAUUUAUUUGUGGAUUUAUUAUUUUUUAAAUAUGGUUUGAGACUUCUGAUGUUUCAAUAUUUAUUGCACACGUGUAGUGCAGUGGCUUUAAUAAAUGUGGUAUUGUAAAGUUUAAUGCUUUUUGCAUGUGAAUGAGCUGGUGUGUACACUUUCAUUGAUGUUUAGAUUCAUGUAUGUGGUGAUCUCUGAUCUGGGUACACGUUAGAUUUUAAUUUUAUGGCAUGGUUCAUUUGACCAAAUUUUGUUGUUACUUGAACUGAUGAACGUGAAUUUCGAAGUUAAUACGUGUGUUUGAUUGAUUGGAUUUUGUAAGAUUCCUUUGUAGAAAUAUUUUAAUCCCACGAACAGUAUGAUUCAGCAAAUAGCUUUGAGAAUGGUAUUGAUUCUAGGCCAAAAUUACUUUAGGGUUUGGUACCCCACUCGUUUGUCAUUUACCAAAGUCAGGAUUGGAUUUUAUCUAACGGCUACAAAAGAUACACAUAGAGAAUUAUGAGCAACCUGAGAAACAGGUUAGGAGCCGGUCACCGGGUGAAAAACAACUGAUUGGAAAAGAGCACAUGUAAUCGAUCAGAAGUUUUUAAGUUUUUUGACAGCUUACGCAUUUAAACAAAUAACAAACCGAGAUAUGCAGCUAAUGGUUGCAAACAACUAUUUGCAAGCGUGCUAGUAUUGGUUGGACUAAGAUUGAUACAAAAUUUCUCAUAAUUAUGUCUUAAAUAUUUGCAAAUGAUCAGGUUAUGUAUUGCCAAACAUAAUAUAUUCCCAUUUUCUACUUCUUCCUGCCAUUCUCUAUUUUACAACCAAGCCUAACAUCCUAUGCCCAUUUAUGCUUCUUCAUGCCUACCCAGCUCCCACCAACUCUGCAACCUUCUAGAGCUGGUCGAGUAAAGCACGUUGUUGCCGAGAAAUCUCUUCACUCCCGGACCUAAAACCUUCUGUUUUGCUGCUUCCAUCAAACUUUUUUGUUGAAGAAUCUGAGGAAGAAAAUGCACAUUUUGAAGAAAAACCCAUUUGUUGUUGAUGGUUUCUGAGUAAGAACUCAUGGCGUGGAUCAGAGAAUGGUAGUUUGGGGAUGUAAGGAGAGGAAAGGUCUAACCUUCCUGAUGAGUUGUGGCGCUUUGGUUGUGGCUGAAGCAAGUGGCUGUGGUGGUGAUGGUGUUCCUGGUGCAGAGGAUAAGCACUCAAAGGCAAAAGAAAGUUUGGAUUUUGACGAUGCUGAGACUGUAACUGUUGGUGAUUCAUAAAUAUCUGAGGAUAAAAAAAACUACAUCUUCAGCCGGUUAUCCAUUUUCUAAAUAUUAAAUCUCAGCCAUUAAAUAUCUUUCUUCACAAUCUAAAGGGUCAUUGGCUAUAAGACAAAUGACUGGGGUACCAAACCCAUGGUGCAAGGUAGCUGGACCCAUUGAUUCUAUUCUUGUUUGUUUAUUCUUAUAAGAACUUUGAUGCAUCCUUCAGAUUCCUUUUGAACCAUGUUGUUAAGAUAAUAGAAUUAGUUAAGAUGGUUUAGUUAGUUAAGCUCAGUUGAUUUGUUUAAUCAAGUUUGUUAUUAAUGCUGACUUGGCAGCUGAGCUGGAGGAAGGUUGUUAUGCUGUUAGCUAAAGCUUAAACAGCAUGUAGAAGAUUCGAAAUGCUUGUAUAUAUACAUCUUUGUAAAACCAUUCAGAUUAAUGAAAUGAUUCACAUUCAUUCUCUCUUGUCAUUUUCUCUCUGUAACUUUCUUAGAAACCAAACAAAUACUUUACAAUUUAACAUGGUAUCAGAGCCAAACUAAAAGCAAAAAUGGCGUUCUCAAAUCCAAACACAGCAAUUUCUGUUUCUUCAUUCACUUUCACUUCUCCUAUUAAGCUUGAUCGAUCGAACUACACAAUCUGGAAAUCUCAAAUUCUCUCUUCAGUACGUGCAAAUGGUCUUGAAGAUCAUUUCGAUAGCUCCAAGUCAUGUCCAGAUCAACUUCUUCAAAGUGAAUCUGAGAACUCUGAAAUUGAAACUCGAACAAAUCCAGAGUUCACUGCUUGGAAAAGGAAGGAUCAAAUGCUGCUGAGUUGGAUGCUGUCUUCUAUAAAUCUCGAGAUCCUCAGCCUUGUGGUAAACUCUGAAACUUCACUUGAACUUUGGACUAGUCUUGAGCAACAAUUCGGAUCUGAAACCUUUGCUAAAAAGGUUCAUCUUAAGAUGAUGCUUAACAAUCUUAGAAAAAGUUCAAUGUCUAUGACUGAAUUUUUUGGAAAACUGAAAACAAUAACUGAUGAUUUAGCUAUAGCUGGAAGCCCUGUUAGCUCUCUAGAUUUUAUUACACAUCUUAUCUCUGGGCUAGGUCAACCAUACUACCCUGUGGUUGUGUAUAUCGAGGCAAAUCUAGCAAAAAUGACUGUUAAUGAAGCUUACUCAAUGCUUUUAACUCAUGAAGCUAGCAAGGAAGCUAAAUUGACUUAUGCUGCAAAUGUUGCUCAAACUGGAACUAAUACUAAGUUUGGAGGACAGAAUAAUGCUAACUGGAUUAGGAAUGUCAAUAAUAAUAAUGGUGGCAGAGGAGCCUUUGGUAGAGGUUUUUCUCAAGGCCGAGGUAGAGGAAAUUGGAAUGGAGGCUGGAAUAAUAAUGCUCAGUCUGGAAAUUAUCAAGGCAGAGGAGGAUAUGGUGUUAACAAUGCCAAUAAUUUUGGUGCUAAUAAUGGAAAUUUUGGUGGAAAUUUUGGUGGCUUCACUAAUGGAAAAGGUGCUUCAGAUCCAAAUGGAGCUGCUGUAAUCUGUCAAAUAUGCUUUAAGCCAAAGCAUACUGCAGCUGAAUGCAGGAACAGGUUCAAUAAAGAAUUUGUGCCUUAUUACAAUCCAUAUUCAGGCUAUAAUUCAUAUCAGAAUCCUGGACCAAGAGCUUUCUAUCCAAAUUCAGCACCAAGAGCUGCUUUCCUGGCAACCUCAGAAGGUGACAUGGCUGAUCAAGGCUGGUAUGUUGACAGUGGGGCAACACAUCAUCUCACCAACAACCUGCAGAACUUGAACCUUGGAAGAGAAUAUUCAGGUAAUCAGCUACUACAUGUUGGUAAUGGCCAAGGUCUGAAAAUUACACACAUUGGAUAUACUUGUCUCCCCACUUCCUGUGAUUCUUUUCUGCAUUUACAAGAUAUCUUGUGUGUACCUCAUCUUACUAAAAAUCUCAUAAGCAUUUCUAAAUUGCUUGAAAAUACCAAUUUAACCAUUGAGUUUGUUGCCAAUAUGUGUUUUAUUAAGGACAAGAGGAAGGGAGUGCAUCUGGCUCAAGGGAUUGCUAGAGGAGGACUGUAUAAGUUGCUGUCUAAGGAUGACUUUCUCUCCAGUUCAUGUGUCACCAGUCAUAAUCCUAGUUCUAUGCUUUCUGUUUUUAACCAGUCAGCUUGUAACUUUUCUGGUUUGUCUUUGAAUAAAGUUUGUACUCAAACAAGUAAUUCUCAGAGUCAUUUGAGCACUGUUAACCCAGCUAUGUUUGCUAAUGUGUUACACCAAAGAUUUGGUCAUCCUAAUAAACAUGCAUUGAAAAACAUAUUAUCCUCUCUUGCACUUUCUGCAUCUAUUCCUGAUUUUUGUGAUGCUUGUCAAUAUGGUAAAAUGCAUCAACUUUCCUUCUACUCUACAGGCAUAAAAACAAAAACUCCUUUAGAACUUGUAUAUACCGAUCUUUGGGGUCCAGCAUCUAUACCAUCUCUACAUGGAUAUAGAUAUUACAUUAGUUUUGUGGAUGAUUACAGCAGAUACUGCUGGAUUUUUCCAUUAACCCUUAAGUCAGAAGCUUUAGAUACAUUCAAGUAUUUCAAAACCUUAGUUGAAAAACAACUUGGUUUCUCUCUAAAGUCUUUACAAUCUGAUUGGGGAGGGGAGUACAGAAGCUUUGAAAAAUUUCUUGAGGCAGAAGGGAUACAUUUUAGGCAUAGUUGUCCUCACACACAUCAUCAAAAUGGUGUAGUUGAGAGAAAGCAUAGGCAUGUUGUAGAAACUGGGUUAACACUUCUUGCACAAGCUAAAAUGCCUUUAUCUUUUUGGUGGGAGUCAUUUCAUACAGCUUCCUUUCUUAUUAACAGAAUGCCAACCCCAGUGUUGAAUAAUGUUUCUCCUUUUGCCAAACUUCAUGGUAGACCACCAGAUUACAAGUUCCUUAGAACUUUUGGUUGCUCUUGCUUUCCUCUUCUCAGACCCUACAAUAACCAUAAACUCAAUUUUCAUACACAAAAAUGCCUAAUGAUUGGCUAUAGUCCUAUACACAAGGGAUAUAAAUGCCUGGAUUCCACUGGUAAAACAUACAUUGCUAGACAUGUUCAGUUUAAUGAAUCAGAAUUUCCUUAUUUUGAACUCUUUCCUACAAAGUCUGAUUCAUAACUCUCAUCCAUCCAACCAAGUCAAGUCUCUUUUUCAAAUAUUCCAAUUACAGAAGUCAUUCAAGACAGCAACAAUGCACAAUCCUAUGCUAUUCCCUCAAAUCCAGAUGCAGGACCUGAUUCAAGUCACUCCCAUACAUUUUCAGCACAUUCAUCUCCAAGCCAUUCAUCUCAAAACUUAUCACCACACAUCCAAGUUCAUCAGCCAGUACAGACAUCUUCAGUUCAGAACAUUCAUUCCAUGACUACCAGAUCAAAAGCUGGUGUGUUUAAGCCCAAGACAUACUUAACAGUAGCUCAAGAGCUUGAACCUUCAUCUGUUAAAGCAGCUCUAGCAGACUCCAAAUGGCAACAAGCUAUGCAAGAAGAAUUUGAUGCACUACAAAAGAAUCAAACCUGGUUUCUUAUUCCUCCAGAAACAGUUGGGAAGAUUGUUGGAAACAAAUGGGUAUUCAGAAUUAAAUAUAACCCUGAUGGCAGCAUAUCAAAGUACAAAGUCAGAUUGGUUGCCAAGGGGUUUCAUCAGACACAAGGGGUGGAUUUUUUUGAAACUUUCAGUCCAGUUGUAAAGCCCUGCACCAUUAGAAUAAUUCUGAGUCUUGCUGUCAUGAAUCACUGGACAAUUAGGCAGCUAGAUGUUAACAAUGCCUUCCUUAAUGGCAUUCUUACAUAGGAUGUUUUUAUGCAUCAACCUGAGGGUUUUGUUCAUCCUCAAUUUCCAGCUCAUAUCUGCAAACUCACUAAGGCACUUUAUGGACUCAAACAGGCUCCAAGAGCCUGGUAUGAUAGGUUGAAAGCUUCUUUAAUUCAGUGGGGUUUUGUGACAUCCAAAUCAGAUACUUCCUUGUUUGUUCAUCAUGUGGCAGGAGAAAUUAUUGUGGCACUAAUCUAUGUAGAUGAUAUUUUGAUCACAGGCUCAAAUUCUCUUUUGGUAGAAAAGGUGAUACAUCAGUUGGGUGCCGAGUUUGCCUUGAAAGAUCUUGGGGAGUUUAAUUACUUUCUCGGUCUUGAGGUAACUCCAAAUGUGGAUGGUUUGCACUUAUCACAAACUAAGUACAUUGGUGAUUUGCUUAAGAAAGCUCAAAUGGUGAACUGCAAGGGCUGUUCAACACCAAUGAGCUCAACAGAGAAAUUAGUCAAAGACAAGGGUGAAGUGUUUGAGAAUCCUUCUCUAUACAGAAGUUUGGUUGGCUCAUUGCAAUAUGUUACACUAACAAGGCCUGAAAUUGCUUUUACAGUGAAUAAACUCAGCCAAUAUCUUUCUAAUCCAUCAGUACUUCAUUGGCAAGCUUGCAAAAGGGUGCUGAGGUAUCUGCAGUAUACAGCAGAUCAUGGUUUACAAUUUUACUCAUCUGGAUCACUUAGUCUUACAGCUUUUUCAGAUGCUGAUUGGGGAUCUGAUCUGGAUGAUAGGAAGUCAGUGGGGGGAUAUUGUGUUUACUUAGGCAACAACUUGGUUUCAUGGUCCUCUAAGAAACAGCAUAUAGUAUCUAGAAGUACAGCUGAAUCAGAAUACAGAGCUUUGGCUUUGACAACAUCUGAGGUAUUGUGGAUCACAUAUCUUUUCAAAGAACUAAAAGUGUCUUUGCUGCAGUCUCCAGUUCUCUACUGUGACAACAAAAGUGCAGAAGCCCUUGCUAGCAAUCCUAAGUAUCAUUCUAAAACUAAACACAUUGAACUUGAUCUACACUUCAUUAGAGAGCAUGUAUCUAGAAAGGAGCUGCAGAUUAAUCAUGUUCCAAGUUGUGAUCAGGUAGCAGAUAUUCUAACUAAACCAUUAGCAUUUGAUCAAUUUCAUUAUCUACGGUCCAAGCUCAAUGUUCUUCCCAGACCUUGAGCUUGAGAGGGGCUGUUAAGAUAAUAGAAUUAGUUAAGAUGGUUUAGUUAGUUAAGCUCAGUUGAUUUGUUUAAUCAAGUUUGUUAUUAAUGCUGACUUGGCAGCUGAGCUGGAGGAAGGUUGUUAUGCUGUUAGCUAAAGCUUAAACAGCAUGUAGAAGAUUCGAAAUGCUUGUAUAUAUACAUCUUUGUAAAACCAUUCAGAUUAAUGAAAUGAUUCACAUUCAUUCUCUCUUGUCAUUUUCUCUCUGUAACUUUCUUAGAAACCAAACAAAUACUUUACAAUUUAACACAUGUAGUUAUAUAUUUGGAUUAGUUUAUAGCAUAUCAACUGUUGAUUGUUGCAUUUAGAUGUUUUUUGUCACUUCCGCUCUUGAUUGCUUAUUAUAUGUCAGUUAAAGAGCAAACAUUAUACAAGUUCUUGAUUGAUUAGUGCUCUUUCGUAUAACGGGUUCGUGACUGAUGUUCACUUUCUUAGUUUUUUGCAUCAAAAGUAAAGAAUGGUUUCAAAAUUCCUGGAGUGCCUCAUGAAGCUGUCUAUGCAUUUUUUCGUUUUGUCUAUUCCUCCUGGUAUGUUGAAAGAAUUCUUGCCAUAUUCUCAUUGUGCUUGAGUAUCUAGUUACUUAAAAUGAUGAAUAUGGUUUUCAGAGGAUUUUCAUGUUACUGAUUUAUUGGCUCCUAGAUUCCUUGAAAAUGAAUUAUUAUGGGUGUGUUGAUGAUUCAAAAAGGGGUCCCAGAUAUAUCAAAAUUGCUUGGUUUAUUUUUCUCAUGUACUGUAGUUCGUUUGUUCUAGUUUUCAAGAAUCGUGAGGGGUUGGUUAUUACGUCAUCCAUAUAUGCUUGGUAUAUGGUGUACACUUUCAUUUAUAUAUAAAAUAAAGUUUGCGCAUUCCUUAGAGGUUUAAUGACAUCCAUCUCUGUAUAUAUAAAAGACUACGUCCAAUAAGAGUUUUGAUUUUAAAUAUAUUUUAGUUUGAAGAGCGUACGGGGCAGUGAUGAACACAUUUGACGAGUUGGAAUGGGGGAUAUGUUGAAGAGUUUUGUAACUACAAUGUUGUAGCUCAAAACCAACUGACUUUUUUUCUUUUCUGUUGAUUAAAUUCAUGACAAUAAAGGAAAAGUUUUAGUGUACGAGCCUUAGUAUAAUUUUUCAAAUAGAGUUUAUUUUACUAUAGCUUUAUUACUUGAGCUUUUACAAGUAAAAUUUUUAAAUAAAAAAAUAAUUAAUUAUUUGAUUGUCAACAAGAGUUUUUAUUAAAAAUUAUUACUUUAAUCGGUAAUUUCUUUUAAAAUUAUAUUGUGAAAGAACUGAAAUGAGAUUGUCAAAUAAGUAAAUGAUAUUUUUAAAAUUUUAACAUUUUAAAAAGCUUUUCAACCUUUAUUCUCAAAAAUCCAGAAUUUCAGUUUUUGUUUGUAAAGAUAAAAUGAUUUAUUUAAUCCUCAAAAACUUUACUAAAAAAUUAACUAACAACAAUAAUAAAUUUUAAAAGAGAUUGUGAGAUUAAAUAAAUACUUAUAGUCAUUAGAUAAGCGAUGCUAAAUAAAGACUAAAAAAUUAAAAAGAAAUAAUGGAAACGGCUUAUGGGAGACAAAAUGAGUUUUACCUUCAUUAAAUACAAGAAAUAAAAAAAUUGAGAAGCUCCACGCAGGGAGCAAGAAAAGUAGAGAACCAAAAGUAAACAUAAAUAAUAGUUUCAAAAGCCAUUAGCACCUCUAGAAAGAAAAAGUGAAGCUUAUGCAAGAGGUGAAGACCACAAGUGAAAGAAAAGGUUAAGCAUCUACAUGAGGUAAAGAUCACCAAAUAAAGUCUGUACAAUGAAGCUCAAGAUUAACAAUGACAAUCUUGGGCAGUAAUGCAACAUCAAGAGAAUUUAUUCGGUUGGAGUCAGAGAAGGAAUGUGAUAAUAUUUGCUCCACAAUUUCUUUCCACCGAUUAUCCAUCGAAGCAAAUCAAGCAAGAAUGUGUUGUUGUAUUUGGAAUAUGCAGCUCACUUUUCAGAUCCAGCCUUUGGAAUUGCCAAGUUUAUGAAGCCAGACUCGUGCAAUUGGACUGUAUGCGCAAGCACAUAUGGAUUUGUCAUUGUUGCUCCACGUAUCUAAUAUUCGUUUGUUGCCGUUUUAAGGAAUAUUUUUAUGUUACGUGUGCGGUAACAGAACAAUGUAACUAGAUAUUGUUGAAAAAUAUUAUGUAGUACAUUCAGUAGACUUGUAAAAGCUUACUAAUUUAUGCACAUUUAUCUUAGAAACAGAGUAAACUUUUUUUACUUUGUCCUUGAGCUUGCAGAGCUUGCUUACACAAUGAAGAUCAUAGAGAAAUGCGACGUGUAGAGUCUUGGAGUGUUAGUGCUGGAAGUGAUUAAAGGGACGCAUCCAUGAUAUUUUCUUUCUUCGUUUUCAUCUUCAUCUUUCACAUGAACACAGCAGUACUUGAUGAAAUGUUGGACCCUCGUCUUCCAACUCCGUUGCGCAAUGUUCAAGAUAGACUGCUAUCAAUCAUGGAGGUUGCAUUUUCGUGCUUAGAUGGGAAUCCAGAAUCGCGACCAACCAUGGAGACAGUCAGUCAAUUACGAAUAAUCUAAUAAUUACGAAUAAGCUAAUAAUUACGAAUAAUCCCAAGGGGUUGGAGACUAAGAUUUAAGGUGAACUGCCACGGAGGAGUCAGAAUCAAUCACUAAAAUAAUUGCCAUAACCUCAGCAUAGUAAUAAUUAAAAAAUAAUUUCUUGCUCAUGUACAAAGAGGUGAACCCCUCGAAUGUAAACUUGAAAGUGUUCAUAACUGGAUUAAUUAAUGCACAAUUCAUAGCUAUUGUUAAUGUUAAAAGAAAGGAAUAGAUUGGGAAAAAAAUAAAAAAUUAAGGAUAAUUUACAAUUAAUGUAGUCCUUAUGAUUUAAGGAAAAAUCAAGUAAGCCAGAAAUAAUUAGUACUAUUUUUCAAAUAAGUCCUCUGACCCUGUUUGACCAUUCACCGAAAAAAUCGAGUUCUUAGCAACCCACGUGUCCAUAAGAUCACAGGUGUAACACAGGCAUUGACUCCUUCACUUCUCAAUUGCUCUUUUGCUUCCGCUGUAAUUGUUUUCCGCAACGUCGUUAAAUUAUAUAUGAGUGUUUGAUAACCUUUUCAAUUUCUAUCAAUGGUGUCACAAACCUUGAAUAGAGUAUCUUUUACUGUUUGGUGAUUCUAUUUUAUACGUGUUUGUAUUAGAAUUUUUACUUAUCAUUGAAAAACCGGGGGAUGAAAUCUAACACGUACUAAUUAAAUUUAUUUCAUGAUAAUAAACUGAAUUAAUUUUUUUAAUAAUUUGAUAACUUUACCUUAAAAGAAAAACUUUCAUAUGAAUUAUAACGCUUACUAUGGCAUGAACAGGGACCCUUUUUUCCCAAUCCAAAGCCUAUACUAUGUUUGGCAAGGUUUUAUAUACUGGGAGAGGGAUAAAUAGAGAAAAACAUAUCCAUUGGAACCGUACCUCCAACAGGAUAAGUUGGGAAAAGCAAUCAAUAAUUUAACUAAUUAAUUAAAAUUAUAAAAAAAUGUUGAGGGUGGGACAAAAUCAAAUUUAUUUUUUAUCCUUUACCUCCCCAUGAUACUAUUCAGUCAGGGCCUAGAGACAAUUAAAUUAAUUAUUACUAAGAUAACAAUAUUAUAGGUAAAUCAACUUAUUCUAAUUGAAUUAUUUAAUGAUACAUAUAUUACAUAAAUUAAAAAAUUAUAGAAAUUUUUAUUUAUAUUUAAUUAACUUCCAUUUACAUUGAAUCAAAUAAUCAGUACCACAUUUUUUUUGUUAAUAAUAUAAAAUAUGUUAUUGGCAAUAAUAAAAAAAUGUAUUACAAAUAAUUUAUAAUACAUUUAAAUAUCUUGUAAUUUAGAUGUAUAUUUUUAUUAUUUAUUUCAUGUGGGAAUCCUCCUUGUUUUUCAGCUUCAAGUUCGUUUGAUUUAUUUAGUCUCAUGUAGCAGUGGUUGACAAUUGUGUAGGUUAUUACGACUUCCAUACUAGGUGAUCUCUUCCUCUUAAAAUGUAGUUCUUGUUGUAAUAACUAAUGAUUAGUAUUUUCCAGAUAAGUUCUCUGACUGUUUUUAAUCAUUAACUAACAAUUCAUAUUUUUAACGUUUAUUAAGAAUUUUAGGUUUGUCUAUAAAUAAAUCAAAGGAAUUAAUAAGAAAUUUAGUGAAGGAUGAACAAUUUUGGUAGAGUUAGGAUGUAAACGAAAAUAUAAACAAUUAAUUGUGGCAUUAAGUAUGAGAAAAACUCAAUCUAGACCACUCAUAUUUUGAUAUAUCAUUUGUCAUUAGAUUUUUAAAAGUCUAAUAAACUAAGGGUUACAAAUCCUUUUUUUUCUAACGUGCUCGAGUUCUACAGUACAUUGGAGAAGUCCUAGAAAAUUGAUCAAGGCAACCUGGCUACAAUUGAUAGAAAGGAAACGUUUAAAGUGGCUUGAUUUACAAGAACCCGGUUCGCGAGUCCAUGGUUUCUCCAGGAAGCCUCAGUCGGCUUGCGGUACCACAAUUAAUAGAAGCAUAAAAAAUAGCUUGAUGUAACAAAGAUUUGUGGGUUCUUUUAAAUUCAGCAUUUGAGUUCGUUAUGAUGAAGUUUCUGAGUUUCUUAAUCACCUAAAUAACAUCCUUUAUUAGCCGAGCCAAGUAUAAAAGGUGCUGAUGGGCAGGUGUGUCAAAGCAGAGUGAUUUGUGAUUAUCACACCCGUGAUAUUUACUAGCUCUGAGUGAAAAGAUCAUCCUUAUAAUCUUGGUAAUACUCUCUAUAUAUAACUGUACUCUCUUCUGAAAUCGAUUAAUCAAAUUUGUCUUUCACCUUGCAGAGCUUGCUUAAACAUACUGGAUAUUUGCCUUCCUUUUUCCUUCAGGCUAAUUACUAAAAGUUUUAUAGUCUUGAGCUGAUUUUAUUGUCAAUGUAUAAAUUUAUUCUUUGCUUUUUACGCUUAAUUCAGCAUGACUUUCUCUCAAAUAAGCAAAUUAAUUUGCAAAUUACGCUCAAAGUGUUGUAUCCAUUUUUUUUAAUGUUAAUUAUAAGCAUUCCCUCUAAAUGAAUAUGAUCAAAUUGUUACAUGGUCCAAAUUAGAAUUACGGUCACAAUGUUAGUAUACCGGAAAUCUGGCUAGGAUCCAGAAAUAAAACUUUGUUUUGUUUGUUAAGCUGGUUGAUAUGAAUAUGAAAAGAUAUUGUGAUUCAACUUUUAAAGUCUCUUUAAUUUGUCUCGAACAUUUUGAUAACUUAAACAAAGUAUGUACAUUUGAUGACAAAAAAAGAAGGGUAUUGGAAAAGCCAACCCCAAAAUAUUUAGUCUUUCCGCUCUUUCUCUGGCAUAAUUUUCGGGGAGACAAAAUGCCCAGCAAACAAGUUAAUUUGAUCCGUUAGGAUCGAAAGAAACGUUAAUUAGUCUAUUCGUCCAAUUAUCUUGGUCACAAAUGUUUAUUCUAUGUUCUGGGACGACUUUCCAUGGACUUUAAUUGUAGUUCGAAGGAGAAUGGCUAUCAAUACAAAGAUUUUUUUAACAGAACCGCAUGCAACAAGUGAACCUUUUGUUUGGAUAAUUUUAAUAUCCUAGAUGUCUUUGAAAACUUUUGCCUUAAGCAAUACGGGAAAACUCUUCCCUACUUGAUCAGGAUUUGACUCAUACGCCUCUCAAAUGCUUGUUUAGAGAAAGCUUGUGGGCACGAUCCCCAUACCCCCAGAAACACUCCACACGCUCAAAAUACAAAAGGUAUAUGAGGAGGGAACGAUAGAAGAGCAAGGCAAAAAAAAAACUAAUUCAAAACAAAGUCAAUACCUUUACAAGAAUUCCACAUCUUUGCUAACUUAAGCAUCGGAGUGGAAUUCGGAAAUCUCAUUUUCCAAUUGUCCCAUUUCACAUUUUGGUUUAUUAUGUGUGCAAAUGACUUCCAUCUACCGCACUUGGUUCAGUUCACAUAGAAAAGAAAUACGUAUUAACAAUCACAUAUAUUUUUUUAUUAUAUUUCCGAUAUGACUUUUCAUGUCCUUGCAUUAUAUAAAGAAAAAAAAAAGGAGAAAGAGAGAGAGAAUUGAAGAAUCUUCCCCGAAAAAAACAUUAACGUCAAUUCAAUCCCAGAAAUUAUGCAAUUCACGGUGAGCUAAUCCGCCUUAACAAAGCUUGAAAACGUACGUGCCGAGAAUUUUUAUUAUAAUUUUUUAUUGCUAUUUAAAUUAGGUAGUUGCCCUUGCGCAUGCGAACUUGAAAAUGACAUAUGCAAUUUUAUGAGCUGGCAUUGAUUACAUUGUAAACCAUGCAUGCGAUCUUCACUGUCAGCCAUCAGUGAUAAUGGAGGUUCUUAUGUUGAGUUUUAUUACAGUCUCUGAUUCAUACAUAUAAAGCAUUUAGUGACAGAAUAAAUUCAAAGAAUUAGACUGUAAUUUUUUAUAAAAAUUAAUUCGGUUCUCUUUUUGGUGGUGCAAGGAUCAUUGACAAUAACUUAUCUUGGGACCAUACCUUUUUAUCCUGAGCCCACACUCUUACAAGGCAAAAUCAAUAGUUUUUUAUAUCAUGAGUGACAUAGAAUUUGUUUCCCAACUUUUUACAUAUAUUAUUAAUUUAAAGAGAACUUUACAUGGAGUGAUUUAAUUUAUAUAAAACUGGGCCAAGAUACUGUUUUUUUUUUUUUUUUUUUUGCUAAAAUUUUUUUAAGUAAUGACGUCUGAACUAACGAAAAUCUCACUUACAAAUUCGAGUUCCAACAUAAUAUGCCAGUGAAAAAAAAUAAAACGUCAUCUUACUGUUUAUUUGAUGAAAACCAAAUGUUUAAAGUGACUUGAUUUACAAGAACCCGAUUAGCGAGCCCAUGUUUUGCGUAGGUAGCCUCAGUAGCCCUGCGUUGUAAUAAUUUGUUUUGACGUAACAAAGAUUUGUGCUUACUAAAUUUGUUUUGAUGUAACAAGGAUUUGUACAAGUAAAACAGCAUCCUUUAUUAGCCGAGUCAAGUAUAAAAUUAAGGUGCUGAUGGGCAGGUGCCAAAGCAGGGUGAUUUGAAAUUAUCUGAGUGCAAAGAUAAUGUUUGUAAUCUUCUUAUUACUCGGUAUAAAUAAUACUCUCUUGUGAAAUCCGUUGAUCAUAUUUGUGUUUCACCUUGCAGAACUUGCUUACACAAUGAAGAUUACUGCAUAUUUGUCAUUUCUUUUUUCCAGGGAAAUUAUUAUGACAGUAUUGAGAUUUGAAAUGAUUGUUUGCAAAUUUUAUAGUUUAAAAUUAAGUAUGGAUUUAUUUCCAAAGUAUGUUUAUUCUUUGCUCUAUGCUUAAUUCAUCAUGACUUGAUGACAGAUAAGUAAAUUAAUUUGAAAAUUAAGCUCGAAGUGUUAUAUGCAUUCUUGCAAUAUUAAUUACAAGCAUUCAAUAUGAUGAAACUGUUACAAGGUGCAAAUCAAAAUUAUGGUAACAAUGUUAGUAAAUUGGAAAGCUAGCUAGUCUCUACAAAUUCAAUACAGUCUUGUCUAUUAAAUUGGUCGAUACGAAAGUGAAUAGAAAUUAUAAUUCAACAUUUAAAGUCUCCUCUGUCUCACUCAUCAUUUUAAUAUCUUAACAAUGUACAUUUGAUGACAAAAAAGAAGGGUAAGGAUAAGCCAACCCCAAAAUAUUUAGAAUUUCCAUCCUCUCUCUGGCGUAAUUUUCGGGGAAGCAAGUGCCCAGUGAACAAAAGUUUGAUCAAUCGAUGAUUGGAUCCAAAGAUACGUUAAUUAGUCAAGUCUUUCCAUUAAUUUUGAUCACAAAUGUUUAUCCUAUUUUGUAAGACGACUUGCCAUGGACUUUAAUUGUAGUUGGAAGGGGAGUGGCUAUCAAUACAAAGAUUAUUUUGAUAAAAUUGCAAACGUUUUGUUUGGGUAAUUUUAAAAUCGUAAAAUGCCUUUUAAGACUUUUGCCUUAAGCAACGGGGAAAACUCUUCCCUACUUGAUCAAGCAUCGACUCAUACACCUCUCAAUUGCUAGUCUGGAUUCUCUAUAAUUUUGGCUCGUGUGGAAAAAGCUACACCUCUCAAAAACUUGUUGUUAGAAUUUUAAUGUACUCACAAGCGCACGAAUCUAGAAAUAGAGUAGUAGUAACGAGGUCGAUCCCACAGGGAUUGUUAUAAAUUGAAAAGUCUAAUUUAAAUCUAAAAUUAAUAUUAAUUCUAACCUAGUUGACCAAAUUGAGUUUCUAAGAAAAUUAAACCAAUUAAACUAAGGAAGCAAUUAAAAUAAAGGAGAAUUCAAUAAGAUAAGAAUUAUUAAGGUUUCAGAAUCCACCACUAUUCAACUAGUAAUUAUUUAAUUAUUAAUUAAUCCCCAAUUUUAGAGUGACAACUCGAAAUCAAUCUAUGUCAUCUCAUGGAUAUAACAAUUAAGCCCAAGUAAUUAAAUCUAAUGCAUGUUCUUUUUCUACUUAAUAAUAUGACAUCUAAGAAUCUCAUGUAAACGUAUUGAAUAACAAAGAGUCAAAGUUUUCAUAAGCACUUUAUGUAAACAAUUUAAUGAAAGACAUAAAAUCAAAGAUAAUCAUGUAUAAACUUUAUAGAUCCAAGCAUAGAUUUAAUCGAAUAUUAAUCCUAACAAUCAAUAAUGCAUGACAGAAUUGAUGAAAAGAUUUUAUUAACAUCCAAUUAAUCAUGUGAAAUAAAAAUCAUAAUCAUCAAAGAACAUAUAUAGGGAAUUAAUUAAAUAAAAAGGUAAUUAUUUCAUUGAAUAGAGUUUCAUCAUUAACCUCAGUAUAAGAAAAUUAGCUAAACAUACUUGAAUUGGGAGAAACAAAACAAAUAAAAACAGCCAUGGAGAAGCCAAAUUGCUACAAAUUUUCUUCUCUGUCUCGCGUUUUUCCUCCUCUGGCGGCCACUCUCUCCAAAAGCCAAAACUCCCUUUUAUAAUCUUUAAAAUGGGCCCCACCUCUUAAAUCCUAAAGCCAAAAGGCUUGGCCGUUUACUUGAUUUCCUCUCACACACGUCCUGGGCACUUAGAAUUGCUAAAGGACUCCUUUUUCCAAUUAUAAAAGCCAAGUGUGGGUCCCUUCUUAAAGCUAAAUCAAUUUCUCUCCUUUGCCCGCAUGUACAUAAUAAACUAACUUGUUGAAUUCGGUUCCUUGGCUUGAUUUUCACAUGCAUGUAUGUCUAAUUCCUUCCAAAAAUCAAUUAAUCUUUAAUGCUUAUAAAUUGAACUCCUUUAUACUCUUUUUAUCCAUAAUCUCCAAUUAAUUCCCUAUUCAAUAAAAUAAUUUAAUUAAUUAAAAAUAACAAAUAAAAAUAACUAACAAUUAAAUAAUUAAGGGUAAAAUAUGUAUAUAAAUUAUGCUCAUCAUCUUUCCAUUAAUUUUGAUCA